GAAAAUAGAAUCAUAAAGAUCACUUAUCAAAUAUUACACAUAAAUUGAGGACAACUUAUAGUUACAAUAGCAAAAUAACAAGAACAUGAUAAACCAUUGUAUAUGGGCUGAGAAUAUAAUCCCUUAUUUUUUCUUCUAAGUUAUUAUGUUUAUCUUUAACAGUAACUUCUUAGGCAUCAUAGGAUGCAAUUGCUAUGAGAGGAAAUUUUCUAUGACUGGUCAAGCCAUUAGUUUCAGUCAUGUUCAAUGUCUGUUGCCCCACUUCUCCGCUUGGAACUUCCCAAUUAAAUUGGAGAACAAGGUUUGCUAGGACCAGCUCAAUCACAUUCAUGGCAAACAUUAUUCCUGGACAACCCCUCCUCCCUGCUCCAAAUGGUAUCACUUCAAAAUCAUGUCCUUUCACAUCUAUUGAACUAUUUAAGAAUCUCUCUGGCUCAAAUUGUUCAGGUUUAUCCCAGUAAGAAGGAUCUCUUGCAAUUGCCCAAGCAUUAACUAUUACUUGUGUGCCAGUUGAAAUGUCAUAGUCCAUCACUUUGGCAUCUUCCAUGGAUUCCCUUGGAAGCAACAAGGGAGCUGGGGGAUAUAAUCGAAAAGUUUCUUUAAUCACUGCCUUCAUAUAAUGCAUACUAGUUAAAUCUUCCUCAGUUAUGCGACUUCUGCCACUAACCACAUUCCUUAUCUCACCUUUUAGCUUCUGCAUCACAGUUGGGUGCCUUAGGAGUUCUGUCAUUAUCCAUCCUAGGAUUGUGGAGCUAGUCUCAGUGCCUGCAGAAAACAUAUCCUGAAAGAAAUACCCAUCAAUUGUCAAUUUCAUUGUCUACCUUGAAUUACCAUGAACGAAAAUAAACUCAACAUGUAUUAUGAUUCUGUGCAACUAAUGUGACUUAACUUUUUAUUGGGAAAAUAGUGUAUAUGUCUUGAACGUUGAAAAGAAAUAACAAAAUCUAAUACAGUGUUGAGAGACUAUAGAAUAAGGAUAGGAUUAGAGUUGUGCGUGAAUAUCGUGAAGGAUAAAAAAGACAUACAACUAACCUGUUUAUAAUUUACCCUAACCUUUAUUUUAUUGUUAUUGUUUUAGAGUUUAGGUUUUAGGAAAGAAAAUAAUAACAUAAUAAAAUAACAAUCACAUUAAUCAGUUAAAAGAAAAAUUUAACUUUUGAAAAGAAUUUUUGAGUAAUAGACAACGAAAUUUAAUAAAAAUUAAAAUUACUGAAGUUUAUUAAGAAGCAGAAACUUGAUCUUUUUUAAUAAUAAAAUAGAUAUAUUCAACAAAACCCAAUAUCAUUUAACAAAUAUUUUACAAUUAAAGAGAUUAUUUAUAAUAUUGUACUAAUGCUAGAGGUACAAAAUUAAUGAGUAAACGAGUAAACCUCUGCUUUGAUUUUUAAAAUAUGUAAAUAUGCCAACUUAUCUUAAAACUUUCACCAAAGCUUGCUUUAGCCCUUAUUUAAUUUGUGAGAUCUCUUUUCUUUUGGUCUUUUCUCCUAUCAUCUUUGACAUUAAGAAUUUUAGUCUUUUCUCACAUCAUCUUUCACAUUAAGAAUGAGCUUAAUGAUGUUUCAGAAAAGUAAAGAUUUUAUGAAGUUAGAAAGUAGAGUAAUUGUCCAUUGGAGAAUAUUAAGAACUUAUGCAGGAUAGCACAUUGUAUAAAUCUUACGUACCAGGAUUAAAGCCUUUAUGGUUCUUUUAUCAAUCUGGAAUCCCAAGGAGUUUGUCUCUUGGAUCCUCAACAAAAUGUCCACCAAAUCAUUCUUCUCUUCAUUAUCAGCACCAUGCACAUCAUGGCCUCUCCUACUAACAUGCUCAUCAAGAACUUGAUCAAAAAAUUCAUCAAGCUGUUUAGCCACUCUCUUUGCCCUACCAUACAUUCCAUUAACGCUUCCCAACCAAUCAAGCCAAGGUAUGUAGUCCCCUAUAACUGAAGCACCCAACAGCUCCAUCAUCUCAUCCAUUGGCUCCCGAAGCUUACUCCCUCCUUCUCCACUGUAUCUCCUUCCGAGAGCAGCUCUACACACUAUGUCAUUUGCGACUGUAGUAAAUAAAUCAGUUAAAUUCACAGGCAUCGAAGAAGAACAACACUGCUUAAUCUUAUCCAUCAUUGCGGAGAUUUCCUCUUCUCUCACUACACCAAAGGAUUGAACCUUUUUUGCACUGAGAAGAUGCAAGACAGAAAUACUCCUUAUCUGCCUCCAGUAGUUGCCAUAUGGAGCAGUUGCCACAUCUUUGGAAUCAUACAACAAGAUAUCGAACAUCUUACGAUGUGGUCUGUUGGAAAAAACAAGGUCGUGUGUUUUCAUAACCUCACGAGCUGCCUCAGCUGUGGAAACCACAAGAACUGGCACCCUUCCAAAGUGAAGUAACAUUAAAGGGCCAUAGGUUUGAGCAAAGGAUUGGAGAUUGCGAUGAGUGAGGGCGCCAAGUUGGUGGAGAUUUCCUAUUAUUGGAAGCUUUGGAGGAGAUGGUGGUGAGAUUUUUUUGCUCCUUGCAGAAUUGAAAUUGUGAUUACAUUUGGAUAAAAGAUUGAUGAGAGUAGGUAAAAAGAAGAUGAUUAAGGUAGCGAUUGGGAGGAAAAACCAGCAUGAAGAGUUUUCAUGCAGAGAAGUGAACAUUGUGUCGUGUGUUUUCUUUAAUUUGCUGUAUAAUUAAUUAGCAAUGCAGAACGAGGUAUUUAUAAUGUUUGUAAGCUAGGUGUAUUUGUAUACGUUUCUUAGAUUUUUUUUUUUUUCAAAUACAGUACGUAUGUAGUUUCCGUUCCAAGAUAUAUUUAGAGAUUACGUGAAUGAUUUGAAAGUAGGAAAAUGAUACCUCUUAACACCACAGUUCAUUAAAUAUAUAUCUAACUAACAACUAAUUUUUUAAUAAAAUAUUAUAUAAUAAAAAAAUAAUAAUCAUAUAUGAAUGUAGUAGAAUGGUUCUAGAUAGUUAAAAGCUCUUAAAUUCAAUUUUGCUAGAACUCUGUUUUUUAUUCUUUUUUUUAGUAAUAUCUUUUGCAACAAUAUCUAUUCAAUCCUUUUUUUUUUCUCAAUUGUUUUAGUUUAUAUAAUCAUAAUCUUUUCCAUUUAUUCGAUGUUCUAUAAUUUCCUGACCAGAAAGUAAAACAUAAAUACUUAUUAAGUUUAAUUUUCUUGACAUGUUUGAAGAACUAGAAAAAGAAAAAGAAUUAGAGAACAAUGGCAAUAAAUAGAUAAAGGUAAAACUUCCAACCAUUUGCCACUAAAUUAACAAUACAAGUUUCUUUAAUAAUAUAUACAAGUUGUUUCGUUUGUUCAAAAGCCCUAAAUAUUGGAACCAAGACUUUUCUAUAAUUGCAAAGUUUACUAAAAUCACAAUGAUUGUAAAUUUUAUCUACGAUUCAUUUGACCACAUAAUAAGAUACGUGUUACUUCUUGCAAACCUCCACUUUAUCAUUUUGUAUUGUUUUGCUGAUAAAAAAAAAUAAAAAUCAUUUUGUAUUGUUUUUAAGCUUUGACUAUGCUAUGCAUGAACUUUCAGCUAUUCAGCCUAAUCAUCUUAUGAUAGUGAUCUGAUUUGAUAUUAUAAAUGUCAACGAGCCAAUUUUUUUCUCCAAAAUAAAUUAUUUCACUGACUUUUAAACUUAAAACUGAAAAAUUGUUUAUAAAGAUUAUAAUCAAAUUCUAUUUAUAAUUUUUCACAUGUCUAAUAGAAAGAUGCCUUUUAAACUCAUCAUCUAAAUUUAAUUGAAAUUUUGUUCUCGAACAGGUUUUGAUUAAAAGAAUUAUUACCUUUCUCUUUGGUUGGUCGGUCGUUUUCUACUUCUUCCCUUCACUGAAUGUCUUCCUUCUCUUCUUCAUUGUCCCCUUCCUUGUAAAUUUCAAGUCCGGAUGGUAAGUACAAAAGGCACUCCAAUAUUUCAGUGAGAUCUUAGUAUUCGGUGUUCGGUGUAAUUAAUGCGUGAUGAUGACGUACCUUUUUAUCGAAAUCUAUGACUAUUUAUAUGAUUAUCAUGGGUCUUUUGUUAUUGGGUCGGAUUAGGGUUUUGAAUCAUAAUUAAGAGUGUAUUACCUAAUGCUUAAUCGCUGUUUGAUCUUGUUCAUCUUCUGUUUGUCUUAAUGAAUCUGAUCGUGUCGGUCGGCUCUAGUCGGAUGUUGAGACCUCCAUCUAUCAUUCGGAUCCAAUCGGUACAACUUUUGUUACAAAUUAAAUACACUAAAAGAAAAUGAUUAAAUAAAAUCAAUUUUUGAGACAAAAUAUAAUUAGUUGCUAUAUUGAUUAAAUUAGAUAUUAUUUUAGAGAUUAAAAAAAUUAUUGAUAUCUAAAUUUGUUUUUAUUAUUGAUAAAUAGUUUCUAAAUUGGUAUCUACACUACAAUAAAAAAUUGUUUUAACAGAGGUUUAAUUUUACAUUACCAAAGGUUAAAACCUUCGUUAAGUCAUUUAUCCUAGGUUGCAGUUCCUACGCUAAAUCAUCUAUGGGGAACGUGUUACCUGGGGUGUUUUAAAACCCCUAAAAAAAUCAGUAUUAACCUUAGUUAAAUACAAUUGGUUUAAGAACCUCCAUAAAAUACCAUGGGUUUGAGAACCUCCGUAAAUACCAUGGGUUUCAUAGCCUCUUUAAAAUAUUAUGGGUUUCACAACCUUUAUAAAAUACUAUGGGUUUUAAAACCUUCGUAAAAUAGUAAAAGUUUCAGAACCUCCGUAAAAUAUCAUGAGUUUUAAAACCUCUAUAAAAUAUCAUAGGUUUCACAACUAUAAACAUUCAUGUGCUUUAUGUAUUUUUUGAAUCAUUUAUCAUUUAAGCAUUUACGUGCUUUUUAACCAAAAUUAAUAAUUUUUUCGUGCAAUACUUGUUCCAAUUCUCACAACCUCUAAACUAAUAUGAGUUUCAGAACUUCCUUAAAAUAGCAUAGGUUUCACAACUAUAAAUAUUCAUGUACUUCCUGUGUUUUUUUUACUUAUUUAUCAUUUAAACAUUCAAGUGUUUUUUUAACCAAAAUUAAUUACAUUUAUUGUAUUUAUUUAUGUUUUAAAGUACUUUCUUAAUGACAUUAAAAUGUUUUAAGUUAUAAAAAAAUAUUUUUUAUCCACUUAUAUUAUUAUUUCGUGCAAUUCUUGUUCCAAUUUUUACGACCUUUAUAAAAUAAUAUAUAUUUAAAAAUCUUUGUAAAAUAUCACAUUAUUUUAAAACUUCAUAAAAUAUCAUAACUUUCAAAACUAUAAUAAUUCAUGUGCUUAUGUGUUUUGUUUAUCAUUUAAACAUAUACGUGUAACCAAAAUUAAUUUUAUUUAUUUAUUUAUCUUUUAUAAAGUACUUUUUAAUGACAAUAAAAUAUCAUAAUUUAUAAUAAAUAUUUUCUUAUCAACUUGAAUUAUUCUUUCGUACAUGUUCCAAUUUUCACAACCUCUCAGAUAGUACAAGUCAACAUUGUAUUGUAUUGUGUGUAUCUUUAAUUUGCUGUAUAAUUAAUUAGUAAUGCAGAAUGAGGCAUUUAUAAGCAUUGGAAGUCAUCAGUAUUUGUAAGCUAGGUGUAUUUUUGUAUACGUUUCUUAGAUUUUUGUUUUCAAAUACAGACGUAUGUAGUUUCUGUUCCAAGAUAUUUAGAGAUUACGUGAAUGAUUUCAAAAUAGAAAAACAAUACCUCUUUAAUACCACACUUCAUUACAUAUAUAUAUAUAUAUAUAUAUAUAUAUAAUAACUUAUUUUAAUUAAUAUAUAAUAAUAAAUAAUAAUCAUAUGAUUUUAGUAGAAUGGUUCUAGAUAGUAAAAAGCUCUUAAAUUCAAUUUUGCUAGAACUCUGUUNNNNNNNNNNNNNNNNNNNNNNNNNNNNNNNNNNNNNNNNNNNNNNNNNNNNNNNNNNNNNNNNNNNNNNNNNNNNNNNNNNNNNNNNNNNNNNNNNNNNGUAAAACUUCCAACCAUUUGCCAUUAAAUUAACAAUACAAGUUUUAUUAAAUUUUUUUUAAAAAAAAUUAAAAUAAAUUUAGUGGGACACUUUAAGGAUGUUCCAACCCUUUUACAAAUCCAUUAAGCAUCUAGCUUAGAUGCUUAAUAAACAUAUACCACGAACAAAUCAGGUUCAGGUGCAUAGAAGCCCCUGUGAACAACUAACAAUAUCUAAGUUUCUAGACGUAGCACAAAACAGGGACCCAGGCAUCAACACAGCAGCUUAAAAGCACCCCCUUAAGACAAAAAAUCAUGCUAAAUUAUGGAUUCUAAUUGUUGUUUGCACGGUCCUAAACAAGAACACGAAGUAGCAAGUUUGCAAAGUCAAACCAGUAAUUGCCACCUCAACCAACUCCUUGCACACAACUCCUAUUUCAGGUCACGUUACCCAUCCACUUACAGAUGCUUAGUCUAGCAUAAAGUGCAUACCAAGUGCUCACCAGAAAAAUCUUAGAAGAGCCAAAUAACCUGAUAUAACACAACACGGUAUCUUCAUUGCUCCUUCACGGCUUUGGACAUACCUUGAUGGAGAUCAAGUAGAAGAGGAUUUCACUAAUGGAGGAAGGCCUUCCACCCAAGCAUUUAAAGUUCUUCCUUCUAGUUUUCUCAAAAAUAAAGAAGAAAUUAAAUAAAGAGAGGACCAAACUUAAAAGAAGACUACAAGCAUUCAAAAAUGGGCUCCAAUUAAUAUCUCUCUUUGUAAUUUUCUUUUGUAUAAAAUUGUAAAACAUAUAGGAGUAGUGUUUAGGAAGGUGCUAAGAGGGAAACCAAAAGACACCUCCUUUGUAUAACACUUUAGACGCUAGUUUUGGUAGAAAGAGACUAGAAAAGUGCCUUUUCACACUCCUUCUCUCUUUAGGCGCUAGAUUGUCCUAGAAGGAAUUAGAAGGUGACCUUUCAAGCUUCCUUCUCUUUUGUAAAUUUGUGACUAGCCCUCUCUAUUAUAAAAGGGGUGCUUGGGUCUUUGAAAUAAGAAGUUAAGAUUGAUUUUUGAGAGUAAAGAACCUCUACCAAAUUGGUGAGUGAUUGAGAGAGACUUGUGUCUUCUUCUCUUCUAGUCUUAUCUUGAGUGAAUUCUUGGGCUCUCAAGUGACGGCAACAACACUCAUCUUGAAGCCAACCAUUUUUCAAGUGGCGUGCACAAUUCCAAGAGCUCCAACCACAUAAGUUUCCUUGUCCUUUUCAUCUUCUUCUUCCAUUUCCAUUCAAAAAACAAACUCUAAAACAUGUCUUUGUUGUUUCUUGUUGAUUCAAUCGAUAGAACUUGUUUAGUUUGUGUUCAUGUUCUGUAGAUUGUCUUAGUUUGCUGUUCUUAUGGUUUUAAGUGUGUUUCUUGAAGUUUUAAUCGGUGCAUUUGUGUUCUUCUUUGUUACAUUCGGUUCAUAUGUCCAAAAACGGGUUUCUAUGUGAGUUUGGCUUGGUUCUUGUGAUUUGGUGAGUUCUUGAAUGAUUAAGAAGAUUGAUCCAAUUCUUAAAAAGUGCCUAAUCAUAUUCCAACUCUUAUUGAAUCCAUAACAUGUUCAUAUCAUAUCCCAAUCAUGUUCUUUGGUUCACAUCAUGUGGUAUCACAUCAUGUGGUAUCAUGAGUCUUAGGUGUGUUCUUGUGUGUUAGAGUUGUUUUUUGACACUUUUAAUUCAAGAAAUUUACAUUAGCAUUCUGUUUUUACUGUUUCUUUGGUAUUUCUUGUUGUUUUCUUGUUCUUAAUACAUUGUGUUUGUGUCAUUUUGAUUUUUGAGUCUCUAUAAGUUUUGUCAAAGUCAUGUUUCUCCAAAAAUGUUAUCAAUUCUAUGUAGUCCUUUUGUUGAUAAUUUUGGUUUCUUGAUUUUUUAUUGAGUGCAGUUUUAUGUGUUUUUUUCUUGAUCCUUUGGUGCCUUUUCUUUUUAUAUUUGAGUUCUUACUUGUAUUUUAGAUCUAUACAAGUUCUUGAAACAUCAAUUCUAUUAUGUCUUUUGAAGUUCUCAAUUCUGUUUUUCAUUCCAAUUAGGUUUCCUCUGUUUUCUUGAAAAUGUGCUGACUGUUUCGAUUUAUUACAAUUUCUGUGAUUACUAGAAAAUUCUGAAAUUCUGGAUUUGAGUUUUUGAGAGUGUUAUAAAAUAGUAGAAAAAAGAAGUCAGUCAAAAUUCCAAGUACAAAAAAAUGAUAAAUCAAAUAUGUCCAGUGUGUAAUUCUGGCACAAAAAAAUACGGUAAAGUGGCAGUAAUUUUGCAAAAUUUAUCACAAUUAAUUGGCGCAAUAUUUUGUGUGAUUCCAGUGCCAUUGUUGAGAUAAGAUCUUCAACUUUCAUUGGUUUAAAUUUUCAGCUCCAGUUAAAUCUGUAAAGUCACGCACAGUUUACAUAAAAUUCCAGUAGUUCUGUUUUUUUUUGUUUUCUUCAUCUAUUCUAGUGCUUUUCUUUAGGUUUCUUUUGAGUGCCAUCUUUUAAUUGAGUAUCUUUUUUUUUUAUUGUCUUUUCUUCACUAUUCUUUGAGUUUGUCAUAUAUCUUGUAUUCCUUUUGCUAUAGCCUUUUCUUGUUUACACCUUUUCUUGAUUGUCUUUUAUUGUUCUUUAAGUUUUGUGGUGUAUUGGCCUUAAGAGAGAGUACUUUGCUUUGACAUUUUUCAUUUGAGAGUACCAAAACUUCAACAACAGAUUGGUUGAGGGAAGUAUUCUUUCUUGGAGUAAUUUCAGUGUCUUUUAAUUUUCAUUACAGUACCAUAACUGUUCCUUUUUCUAACCUUGUUUUUCUUGAAAUUGUUUGUUCUUGUGUUUGCUGUUUUCUUUUUCUAAUGAUUGCAUAUUCAAGUGGUGACUCUUCCAAACCACACUCUCCUCAUAGAGCUUAUAUUCUUAAUGAAUUAAAAGAGGCAAAAUGUGUCCUUGCUCUAAAGGACGAAGCUAUGAAAAAGUUGGAGGAAAAAUUACAAAAAGUUGGAUUGAAGCAAGAUAGGUCAUCUGCUUCCAUCCAUGGAAGCCACCAUUCUCAUAGACAUUCUUCAAGAGGUUCUUUCAAUGCUCACGACCAUGAAGAAGAACAUAGAAGGAGGAGACAUCACCAUCAUUCUCAUGGAGAUAGACAUCACCGUGAAGAAGGACAUCACCAUGAAGAAGUCUCAUUUAUCUUUUGUAAAAAUACCUAGCUUUAGUGGUAAUAGUGAUCCUAAUGUGUAUUUAGAUUGGGAAGCUAAGGUUGACCAUAUUUUUCAUGUGUAUAAGGUCCAAGAUGACCAAAAACUUAGGACAGUUUCUUUACACUUUUUGGACUAUGCCAAAGAAUGGUGGCAUCAAACUCUUAGGGACAUUGGUUAUAACAAGAGGCCUCUCGUGGUCUCUUGGAAUGAUUUGAAAAAGUGUAUGCGCGCGAGGUUUGUUCCUCCUUCUAGGAAGGAACACUUGUUGAAGUUCCAAAGGCUUCCUCAAGGACAUAGGACGGUAGAUGAAUACUUUAAAUCUUUUGAAACAACUUUGACUAAAAUGAAUAUGCAUGCUAAUGAAGAGUCAAAGAUAAAAUGGUUUGUAAGUGGUUUGAAAAGAGAUAUUAGAGAAUUUGUAGAAUUAAAUGAGUAAUCUUCUUUAAAGAAAGUGGUUCGCCUAGCCAUCAAGGUGGAAUCAUACCUUUUAAAAACAACUUUCAAACAUACUCAUGAUGAUGGUUUCUACAAAUCUUCAAAGAAGGAUGAAAACAUACUUUUGCCUAAACCUUCUCCUUCAAAUUUUUCAAACGCUACCUUUUCUAACCAACAAGUUUCUACAAAGAAUUCUUCUACAUCUCCUAAGUCACCUAUCAAACUUCAAAAAUAAAAUGUUUUAAAUGUUUAGGUUUUGGGCACAUAGCUCUUCACUGUCCACAAAAACGAACCUUAAUGAUAAACAAGGUAAAACAAGACCUAACUCAACCACCUACCAAAAGUGAAAAUGAAAAAGACAGAAAGGGCCAAGUUGACAUAGGUCUUAUCCUUUCACCUCCAAGGUGUUUUCCUUCCUUAUCUUUUUUAUUACCAAAGGUUCUAACUUCACCACCAUCUUGGUUAAAGAAUGUUAGGAAUGAUUUUUUCAUACCUCCUAAUGGUUUUCACCAUUUAAGAGGACUUUUUCCAAAAAAUAUCAUCAUUCCCAAACAAUUUUUUCCAACUUUGUUUGUCUAUAGGACCUCCUUUUUUGAACUCCCACCGUUUACAAAUUCUAAGUCAUGUUUGCCUUUCUCUUAUUCAACUGUUAAUUUUUAUAGUAAACUGACUUUGUUAUAUGCAGGGAUUCAGAAUUCGUGGACGAAUUCUCUCCAACUCGGGGAGUAUGAUGGAGAUCAAGUAGAAGAGGAUUUCACUAAUGGAGGAAGAGGCCAUCCACCCACUUCUAGUCUUCUCAAAAAUAAAUAAGAAAUUAAAUAAAGAGAGGACCAAGCCUAAAAGAAGACUACAAGCAUUCAAAAAUGGGCUCCAAUAAAUAUCUCUCUUUGUAAUUUUCUUUUGUAUAAAAUUGUAAAACAUAUAGGAGUAGUGUUUAGAAAGGUGCUAAGAGGGAAACCAAAAGACACCUCUUUUGUAUAGCACUUUAGGCGCUAGUUUUGGUAGAAAGAGACUAGAAGAGUGCCUUUUCACACUCCUUCUCUCUUUAGGCGCUAGAUUGUCUUAGAAGGAAUUAGAAGGUGACCUUUCAAGCUUCCUUCUCUUUUGUACAUUUGUGACCAGCCCUCUCUAUUAUAAAAGGGGUGCUUGGGUCUUUUGAAAUAAGAAGUUAGUAAAGAACCUCUACCAAAUUGGUAAGUGAUUAAGAGAGACUUGUGUCUUCUUCUCUUCAAUUAUCUUGAGUGAAUUCUUGGGCUCUCAAGUGGCGACAACAACACUCAUCUUGAAGCCAACCAUCCUUCAAGUGGCGUGCACAAUUCCAAGAGCUCCAACCACAUAAGUUUUCUUUGUCCUUUUCAUCUUCUUCUUCCAUUUUCAUUCAAAAACCAAACUCUAAAACAUUUAUUUGUUGUUUCUUGUUGAUUCAAUCGGUAGAACUUGUUUAGUUUGUGUUCAUGUUUGGUAAAUUGUCUUAGUUUGCUGUUCUUAUGGUUUUAAUUGUGUUUCUUGAAGUUUUAAUCGGUGCAUUUGUGUUCUUCUUUGUUACAUUCGGUUCAUAUGUCCAAAAACGGGUUUCUAUGUGAGUUUGGCUUGGUUCUUGUGAUUUGGUGAGUUCUUGAAUGAUUAAGAAGAUUGAUCCAAUUCUUAAAAAGUGCCUAAUCAUAUUCCAACUCUUAUUGAAUCCAUAACAUGUUCAUAUCAUAUCCCUAUCAUGUUCUUGGGUUCACAUCACACCUGCUACUCUUCAACCUGUAUUACACACAUAUUCUCCCAGCAUGUACCUAAUCAUAUUCCAACUCUUAUUGAAUCCAUAACAUGUUCAUAUCAUAUCCCUAUCAUGUUCUUGGAUUCACAUCACACCUGCUACUCUUCAACCUGUAUUACACACAUAUUCUCCCAGCAUGUACCUUACCCUGUUUUUGUGUAUGCCUUUGAAAAUAGGCACUCUCACCCUGUCCAGCCUUUCCCUGCACCAAACCAGCAUCCCAGAUGUUCCUGAACCAUCAAGGCCUCCCAGACUUGGCCACCGAACCAGUAUAGAUGCUCCAGUAACCAACAAGCCUGCUUUACGUUCUUACUUUUCCAAACUCCAUAGUUCCACCCACCAGCCAAUUCCCAUCCAGCACAUGUUCCUUCAGCAUACCAGAAAAAGAGAAUAUAUUACAACACCCUCAACUUCAGCAGCUUUGCAAGCACUUGCCAGGAUUGAGAAUCCAAUCCGAGAAAGCAUAACUAAAGGAGGAUUGCCCCAUACUUCAGCUUCAGCCACACUGAGAGUUGGGCUAGGUGGAAAAUUUCUUCAGCAUCGGCUAUCCCUUUCUUAAAGAUAGCCAAAUUUCUCUGAUCCCAUAUACACCGGACUAUAGCGACCCAAAUUCCCUUCCAUACCUGAUUCUGUUUAGCAUUAAAAUGAGGCAGAUAAAAACUCUCAAAAUGGUCAAAAAUGUCCUUAUGUUGGACAAACAAGAUGCCUAUCCAUCUUAAGCAUAGGGACCAAACACGUUGUGCAUAAAUACAAUCCAGAAAAAGAUGUUGGGUUGUUUCUUGUGCUACCUUACAGAGCGCACAUAGAGAAGAGUUUACAACCAAACCCCUCCGAAUAAGAUUAUCAUAAGUUGGAAGUCUGCCAAGCAAAAUCCUCCAUGCAGUAAAUAACGCUUUUGGGUGUCGCUUUAGCUUGCCACCAAAGGGAGAAAAUGUCAUGCGAGGAGUUAUUAAGUUGACUACACAAAGUCAAAUAUGCAGAUUUCAUAGAGAACACACCAUUAUGGUCCCCAUUCCAUACUAAAGCAUCCUUGAUUUCCUUACACAAACUCUUCCCUGUAAUGAGAUUGAGCAAUUCUCCCUCCAUAGAGCUUUCCCAAUUGAAUCUAGGCCUUCUCCACCUUAAACGGCAGUUCCAUCCUAAAUCCUCCCAAGUGCCUACUUCAGCCACCGUCUUUCCUUGGUCCAAAGAAACGGAAAACAGCCUAGGGAACAGAGUUAUAAGCUUGUUAUUCUCCAACCAAACGUCUUCCCAAAAUUUGACUUUGUCACUGACUCCGACCUUCCAUCCAAAGGAUUUAUGGAACCAUCCAUCGCCUUCUCCCUUAUCACAUGCCCUAGAUAGAUCUCUCCACCACCAAGAAAGAUAGUUACCAGAAUCUUGACUUCUUACUCCACUCGUACAAUACUUAGAUGCUAGAAUCUCUUUCCAUUUCCCUUUUUCCUCACUCAACAUCCUCCAUUUCCAUUUUGUUAGCAAGGCACAGUUAAACAUUUUAAUAUCCUUGACCUUUAAACCCCCUUCCUCCUUUGAUUUACACACAUUUUCCCACCGAAUCCAAGAUAUAUGUUUGUGAUCAUUACCCCAUGCCCAAAGGAACAUCCUCUGAAUGCUAGAAAUUUUAUUAAACACUGAUAUCGAGGCUUUAAAGAAGGACAAAUAAAACAGGGGUAUGGAAGUUAAGACCGAUUUAACCAAACAUACUCUACCUGCUAGUGACAAGCAUUUCCCCUUCCAAGCACUAAGUCUAGCUUUAACUUUAUCCACUACUGGAUCCCAAAACUGCAUCCUCCUUGGGUUGCCGCCUACUUGUAACCCCAGGUAUUUAAAAGGAAUCUGCAUUGCGCUACAAUUAAGAGCUCUUGCAUAAGUUCCUAACAAAUUCCUUCCAACCUUAAUACCUGACAGCUUUGACUUAUGGAAGUUAACUUUGAGACCUGAAGCCAACUCAAAAACCCUGAGAAUCGCCUUAAUUGUUAAGAUGUUGGAGUAAGAGUCUUCGCACAUAAACAGGGUGUCAUCAACAAACUGUAACAUACAACAUUCAAUCUCAGCUCUCCCCACUUUCACUCCUCUUAAUAGGUUCUCCUUUAAAGCGCUACGUACUAGACCAGCUAGACCUUCAACAACAACAAGGAAAAGAAAAGGAGCCAUAGGAUCGCCUUACCUCAGACCCCUGGAUGACCUAAAUUCCUCCAUCGGACUACCGUUAACCAAGACAGACAUUGUUGUCGACUUCAAACAGCCUUGUACCCACUUAAUCCAUUUCAUGUGAAACCUCAUCCUAUGCAACAUAUCCAACAGAAAACUCCACCUGACCGAAUCAUACGCCUUUUCAAAGUCCACCUUAAAAAACACUUCACUUUUCUGACUUCUUUGUACCUCCUCGAUCACCUCAUUGGUCAUCAAUACACUUUCCAACAUUCCCCUAUCUUUCAGAAAAGCUGAUUGAUUUUCAUCAAUAACCAGAAGUAGAACAACCUUAAUACGACACAACAUCGCCUUAGUAAUGAUCUUAUACAGGGCUCCCAUAAGAGAAAUGGGUCUGAACUGGUCAAUCACAAUAGGGUCUUUUACCUUCGGAACAAAAGUAAUAAAAGACGCAUUGCACCCCUUCGGAAAGCUCCCUGAUUCAUGAAAAGAAUGCACCGCUUCCAUAAUAUCCUUCUUUAAAGUCUCCAAAUUGCUUUUUAUGAAGUUGAAAUAAAAACCAUCUGGACCCGGCCUCUUAGAUCCCUCACACUACCACACUGCGUCCCUUACUUCCUCCUCAGAAAACACAUGGGUUUCACAACCUUCGUAAAAUACUAUGGGUUUUAAAACCUUCGUAAAAUAGUAUAAGUUUCAAAACCUCCGUAAAAUAUCAUGGGUUUUAAAACCUCCAUAAAAUAUCAUAGGUUUCACAACUAUAAAUAUUCAUAUGUAUUUUUUGAAUCAUUUAUCAUUUAAGAAUUCACGUACUUUUUUAACCAAAAUUAAUUAUUGUUUCGUGCAAUACUUGUUCCAAUUUUCACAACCUCUAAGCUAAUAUAAGUUUCAGAACCUCCGUAAAAUAGCAUAGGUUUCACAACUAUAAACAUUCAUGUGCUUCAUGUGUUUUUUUACUUAUUUAUCAUUUAAGCAUUCAAGUGCUUUUUUAACCAAAAUUAAUUAUAUUUAUUGUUUUUAUUUAUUUUUCAUAAAGUACUUUCUUAAUGACAGUAAAAUGUUUUAAGUUAUAAAAAAAUAAUUUUUUAUCAACUUAAAUUAUUGUUUCUUAAUGACAGUAAAAUGUUUUAAGUUAUAAAAAAAUAUUUUUUUAUCAACUUAAAUUAUUGUUUCGUGUUUGUUCCAAUUUUCACGGCCUUAGUAAAAUAAUAUAUAUUUAAAAAUUUCUGUAAAAUAUCACAUUAUUUUAAAAUCUUCAUAAAAUAUCAUAAGUUUCACAACUAUAAUCAUGCAUUCAUGUGCUUAUGUGUUUUGUUUAUCAUUUAAAUAUAUAUAUAUAUAUAUAUUAAUCAAAAUUAAUUAUAUUUAUUUAUUUAUUUUUUUAAAGUAUUUUUUAAUGACAAUAAAAUAACUUAAUUUAUAAUAAAUAUUUUUUAUCAACUUGAAUUAUUGUUUGGUAUAAUACUUAAAUACUUGUUCCAAUUUUACAACCUCCCUGAAAUAAUAUAAGUUUGUGUUGUGUGUUAUCUUUAAUUUGCUGUAUAAUUAAUUAACAAUGCAGAAUGAGGCAUUUAUAAGCGUUGGAAGUCAUCAGUAUUUGUAAGCUAGGUGUAUUUUUGUAUACGUUUCUUAGAUUUUUGUUUUCAAAUACAGACGUAUGUAGUUUCCGUUACAAGAUAUUUAGAGAUUACGUGAAUGAUUUCAAAAUAGAAAAACAAUACCUCUUUAACACCACACUUCAUUACAUAUAUAUAUAUAUCUACUUAACAACUAAUCUUUUAAUAAAAUAUUAUAUAAUAAUAAAAUAAUAAUCAUAUGAUUUUAGUAGAAUGGUUCUAGAUAGUAAAAAGCUCUUAAAUUCAAUUUUGCUAGAAAUCUGUUUUUUUUUUAUCUUUUUUCUUAGUAAUAUCUUUUGCAACAAUAUCUAAUCAAUCCUUUUUUUCUCAAUUGUUUUGGUUUAUAUAAUCAUAAUCUUUCCCAUUUAUUCGAUGUUCUAUAAUUUCCUGAGAAAAAGGAAAACAUAAAUACUUAAGUUUAAUUUUCUUGACAUGUUUAAAGAACUAGAAAAAGAAAAAACACUAGGGAACAAUGGCAAUAAAAAGAUAAAGGUAAAACUUCCAACCAUUUGUCAUUAAAUUAACAAUACAAGAUAUUUUUUUAUCGGCAAUAAACAAUAAAUAAUAUAUGAAUAAUUUUAGGGGUGAUUCAACCCUUAUAGAAGAACUCACCCAUAUUCUUCAUCACAAGACUUAGUUCAAAGUCUGCCAAGACAGAACUCUCCUAGCUAACCUAGAGGAAGACCUCUAGGGGAAACUGUCAAACAGCUUGAAUGAAUACGUCAUGAGAUCAUCCUCAUACAAACCAACGGAUGUACACACCAAUCAGAAAAGGAAAAAUUCGCAAACUGUGACUUGGAUGUAACCCAUGACCAAGCCUUUAAUUAAACCAAAUCAAAAGCUUCCAGAACAUCCACUACUCCCCCGUUAAAAAUAACCCUUUUUCUAAGCUUCCAAACCUUGUUGACUAUUGCGAUCCAAACAACACCCGAACCUCAUUCACCGAACCAGACGCAUUGUUCAACCUAAACUGGGAAAAAUUUAAUAAUGGAGCGUUGUGAAACACGCUCAGCACGCCCAACCAUGCACAACAAUGGUUCCACAAUAACCAAGCAAAUCUCCAAUAAAAGAACAAAUGGGUGCUAGUCUCCUCCUCAACCCACAAAGGCUACACGUGGAGCUUGCAGCAAUGAUCUCGCGCCUUUCCAGGUUAGUCUUAGUGGCUAACUUGUUUUCCAACACCCUCUAAGUCGUAACCAAAGCAAUAGGUGCAACUUUACUCUUCCAAAACUUUUUAAACAUCGUCGCAUUCUCCCCUACUCCAUCCUCCCUUAGACGGAGGUAUGCCGAUUUAACUGUGUACCCAAACUCCUCUCCUUCCUUUCAGACCCACCUGUCCUCCUUAUCCAAGUCGAAAUUCACACCUUGGACUUCCUGAAAAAGUCGUUAUGCUAAUUGCUUCUCCCAUUCAAAUAGAUUCCUUCUCCAAACAAAAUUCCAGACCCAAUUUUCGUUGAUCAAUCCCAAAAAACAGUCAUCGCAGAAGCUUUUGUCACACUCAGGGAAUACAACCUCGGGAAAACCGUCUUCAAAGGCCUUCUCCUACCCAAUUAUCUUCCCAAAACAAAACUUCCUUCCCAGUUCCCACCUUCCAUAUUAAGGCUUCUUCGAAAUUUCGGCCCCAACCCUCCAAGCUCCAGACCUCCUUCAAGUCUUUCCACCAAUGAGAGUCUUUACUAUCUUUCCCUCCCUCUCUCAAACUUCUCCACCCCCCAUACUUGGAAACAGUAAUCUCCUUCCACAAACCACCCUUAUCUGACCCCAACCGCCAUACCCAUUUACCAAGUAACACCAAAUUGAAAGUCCUUAAGUCAAUAAUCCCAAGACCUCCGCGAGCUGCACACACCUUUUCCCAGGAGGCCCAAACGACCUUUCUUCCAUCCGAUCCCAACCCCCAUAAGAAAUCCCUUUUGAUUUUCACGAGCUCGUUUGCCACCACCACCGGCAUUUUAAAUAAAGAUAGGUAAAACAAUAGAAUGGUAGACAAUACUAACUUUAUUAAACAAAUCCUACCUGUCAAAGACAAGAAUCUGCCUUUCCACCUACUUAAUCUUUUCUUCAUUCUAACAAUCACUCCAUCCCAAAACGGCCUUCUCUUAUGGCACCCUCCUACCGACAAACCCAAGUACAGAAAAGUGGUUAUCAUUACAUAUUUAGGAAUUAUAUGUUCGGUUUUAUUAAAAACUAAAGUUUCUUAUACAAUAUUAAAAUAAUAAUUUAUUAAGUUACGAAAAAUUGUCAGAUUUGUUUCAAGAAUUUAACAAACAAACAAUUUGUUAUUUACAAAUUACGUCUUUUAAGUUUAAUUUGUUUUUUAAUUAUUAUUAUUUACGAAUUAUAUAUUCAAUUUUAUUGGAAAUUGAAAAUUUUGAUAUAUAAUGUUAAAUGAGAAUUAAUUGUUGUAACAUCCCUAAUUUUACCCAUAUAUGAUAAAAUAAAAGUAAAACAAACACUAUCUACUUAACAUAUGAAUAUACAUGACUAUCUCAUAAUUGUAUCUAAAAAAAAAUAUCCUUUUAUUACCUACAAUCUCAUCUGCUCCCGUGUACAACACGAUCAUCACAAAUAAAGAAACAAACACAAACAAAUAACAGCGUAAGCUAGCUAUAACAAAAUUUUCUAUAUAAUUUAAAUUUCAAAUUGAUACACAAAAUUCAUAAAUUUUCAUACAAUUUCUCAAACAUUUCACAUAAUCAUCAAGUGUGUAUCACGUUCAUCAUCCACAUUACUCCUUUCAGAUUUCUACUGACUCACAUACUCAGACACUUGACUCUACUUCCAGAAGACUCGUGUAUUGACAUUAGCAUCCAGAGACCUGCACCUGUCAUACUACUGUUGUGAAACCCACACAGCCAUGAGCAUAAUUAUCUCAAUAUCUCAUCAUUUCAUCAUCUUCAUAUGACAGGAUAAAUCCAUUUGAUCUGCUCUGAUCAAUUCUUUCAAACCUCAGACUCAGCCAAAUGGACCUCCUUCGACUCUCACCAACUGAAUAACUUCAUCUAUGUUAUUCCAUUAUAUCAGUAGAGUCAGGAUCGUCUCAUUCACAGGACACUCACAAAUCAAUACACCCUAAUAACAAUCUCAACACAGUAUUUCCUUUCCUGAAAAUACUAUGUCUUGAUCACACUUUAACCUCAUUACAUACAUCAUUUAACAUAUCAAUGCACUACUCAAUCACAUCAUUAUUUAAACUUUCUAAACAAUCCAAAUAUAUCUCAAACUUUACUUAAACACAUAAUUGAUUCCAAAUAUAUGCUCUUUAAAUCAAUCAUCAUCUAAAAUCAAACAACCACUUCUCAUCAAACAUUCAAACAUCUCACUUAAGUAAUUCAAUAAAAUAUUCAAAAAAGAACAGUUCAACUCAUUUAUAUUAUCAUUCAAACACUUUCAAUUCUUAAUCACAAACACUUUCAACAAUUUAUUCACCUUAAAAUCAAUAUAAAAGAUUCAAAAUCAACCAUUCUAGUCAAUAUAUUAUUUUACAUUUCAAAAGAGACAAUCCUAUAAGUAAAUAUUGGAAUUGGUGACCACGUCAUCCUCAUAUCACGAUCUUUUAACCUAGGGUUCUAUUGAAAAGAAUAAGACUAGCUUCCCUUACUUGGACUUGAGCAGAUGCUCACUAAGAGCUCUAACCCACCAAAAGCUUAAGAUAACCCAACCUGCACCACAAAGUCCUGAUCACAAAUCUAACUAUAUCACUAUGACCCUAAUCUAACAUAGACUAAUUCUGAAGAUAAAAACCUCACAUGCAAACUUAACUAAAAGAAAACCCUAACCAAAUCAAAACUAACUCCAAAGAAAAUGAGCCAAGAAUGAACUUACUCUAUCUAAGAUUCUGAUCGGGCAAUCUCGUAGAGUUCACUGCCAGGAGUCCAAUGGCAGAAUCUGAUCAUCAAACUGGUGAACGAGCAGGUCAGAAUCAUAAAGAGAAGGGAGAAGAAAGGAAAAAGGAACAAAAAUGAACUUACUCUAUGCAAGAUUCUAAUCGGGCAGUCUUGUAGAUCUCGCUGCCAGGAGUCUAAUGGUGGACUCCGAUCGUUAAACAGAUGAGCGAGGAGGUCAAAAUCUUAGAGAGAAGGGAGAGGAAAGGAAAAAGGAAACUUCUAGAGAGAUGGUGGUUCUUUUAAAAUGAGACCUGAAUAACUAAUUUUUUAUUUAUAUAGUUUUUUCACUUUAAUAAUAAAAUAUUUCGGUGUCAUUUUAAUUGUAUCAUUUAUACUCUAAGACUAUUUUCUCGGUCCUUACAAUUAUCAAAUUGAUUCACUCUCUAUACGUGUGAAUAAAUUAUAUAUAUAUAUAAUAAUUUUUAUUUAAUUAAUAGAAUGAGUAAUUAAUUUAAAAUUAAAUUAGUACCUAUUUUCUAUCUUUUUAUUGUAAUAUUUUUUGUUCCAAUUAUCUAACUUAUAUGAUUUUUAUUCAAUAUUAUUUUAAAAUGGAUAAAUAGAAUUUAAAAAAUUAGAAAGUGCAAUCUAAAUUUAAUUUAUCAAACAAAAUAUAUCACUUACAACACACAAAGAUCAAAAUUAUUUUUAUAAAAUAAACUAAGAAAAAUUAAAUUUACUUUACCAUAAAUAUUUUAUUGAUUAUUUUGAAAAUUUUAAAAUAUUUUUUUAUAUGAUUAACAUAUUUUAAUUACUUAUAAAAAGUAAUUAAAUCAUCAACUUUAAAUUUUUAAAUUUAGUGUCUAAAUAUAAUUUUAGACAAAUAAUUAUAUAUUUCUUACAAAUUAUUUAACAUUUUAUUUUGUAAGGAUAAAUUUUAGACAGUAUCAUAAUUAAUAUAUGUAUAUAUUAAAAAAAUUAUAUAAUAAAUAUAUUACAAUUUUAUUAAAAUAUGGUCUAAUUUUGUUUAAAAUUUUGUCUCUAGCUACAUAAAUAUUAUUUUUUUAAAAUAAUUAUAUUAAUUGGAAAUAAGUGAAUUUUAUUACGAAUAAGUAUUAAUACUCAAUAAUACAUCAUGAUACGGAAAACUUUUCAAUAUAUAUAUUUUAUUUGGCAUGUUUUAUCAUAAAUGAAAUGUUCUAUAAUUAUUAUAUACAUUAUUAAUAUUUAUUUAUAUAUAAAAUUACUUAUGUUUUAAAUUUUAAGUUAAACAUUAAGGACUUGCUGGUUCAAAAAUAAUAAUAUAAAAAAUAUUUACUAUUUUCUAUAAUUAAAAUUUGUAAUUUUUUUAUGAAUAUAGACUUCAAAUUAUAUAUAUUAAAAUCACAAUUAUAAAUAUAUUACAACUAAAAUAUUAUUACUAAUUUAUAUAUUGUUUAUAUUUUGAUAUGAUUUAGUUACUUAUGUAUACAACAAUUUUUAAAAAAAUUAUAAAUUAUGUAUUAAGAACUUAAUAUACAUAUUUACAAAUUUUGAUAUAUAACAUAAUUGAAUAAUAAAUAAGAUAAAUAUGAUAUUGUUUUUACUUUUUUAUAAAUUUUAUUUCAUACCUUAAAUCAACUAUAUCUUAUAAUUAUAUUUAGAAAAUUAAUUUUUAUUAAUAGUAAUAUGGUUCUUUGUAAGUCUCUUCUUUUGACAAGAUAUGAAGUCAAUGUUAAUAAAAAAUAUUACAACAAGGUCAAAUUCAAUAAAUUAUUUCUUAAAAUAUAUAAAAAAAAAUUUAGAUAAAGUCCUACAUUGAAAUUAGUGUUACUUCUACAUAUUCUACCUAAAAACCAUAACAACUAAUUAUUAAUGAAAUAAAGAUUGUUACUACUUAUUACAUUUAGAAUUUAUUUAUUUAUAAAUUUGAAUUAUUUAUAUUUUAAAAUUAUUUAAUUAUUUAUUAUAAUUAAUAUAUAAUAACUAAUAUAUAAUUAUUUGUUUAUAUAAGAUAUGUUUUAUAUAUUUUAUAGGUUUCAAAAUCUACACAUUACAUUAUAUCAAAUUAUUCUUAAAAUAAUAAUAAUUCAAAUUAAUAUAUACAAUUCUGUAAUAUUUUUUAUUAUAAUUAUUUUAUGAUAUAAUAAUAUGUUCCUGAUGUCUGUUUUAAUAUAAUAAAAUGUUUUUUUCAAUAAUAAUAAUAAUAUAUAAACCAAAAUUAUUUAUUUUUAUUUUUUAAAUUAUUUUAUUUUUAUCAAACUAAAUAUAUAUAUAAUAAAUAUUCUACAUUUUUAAAACAAAGUUUACAAAUUCUGCUUUUUUUAUAUGUUUAUUUAUUAUAAUUAUGUUAUACUUUUUGUGCAACCUAACCUCAGUUCUAUUUUUUUACUGUAUUUUGUAUAAUAAUGUUAUGUUAUUACUGUUAUUAUCACAAAUUCAUUAAUAUAUAUUUCCAUUUUUUUACUGUACUAUUUCUGAUUUUAUUACUAUAUUACUUGCAAGGUGAUAUAAUGCUAUGAAAUUAUACAAGUAUUAUUACAUUUGAAAAUUAUUAUUAAUAUAAUAUUUUUUAAACAUAUUCUAUUGAGUAUGACGGUCUAUAAACAUGUUUUCUUUGGACAGUAUGAUAUGUAUAAAUCAUUCUUUCAUACUUCUUAUGUUACUGGUCUCCUAAUUGAUGUUAUUUAGACUUAAAUUUGUUUUUGUGUUUAUUUUGUAAGUCUAUCUUAAGUCAUUUGUUGUAUGACAUGUAUGACAUUAAGUUUCAUAUUUCUUAAUUCUGAAAUUGUGGCAGCUAAAGAAAAGAAACUUAGAAUUUCAUUAUUUUACUUUUUUUUUAUUAUGUUAUGUUUUGUGAAUAAUUGGAACGUUUUUAAAAAUAAAUAGGAUAUGAAAUGAAAUGCAAAGUGAUAACAAGUAUAAUAUAUUUCAAGGUGUAGAUUUGACAGUAACAAAUUCAAACUGUUCUAAUAGAUUAUGUUAUUUAUUAGUGAGAUAUUUAAACUUUUGUUCUAUACAAUUCCUUUAAGAUCGGGUAUGUUAUGCUCUAAGUGAUACUUUGCUGCCUUAAAAGUUAUUUAUUUAAGAGUGUAAUGUGUUCAAAUGUGAUAGCUAGAACUUUUCACUUCUUCAUUCUUACAUAUAUGUUUAUAGUUUUUUUUUUAUAAUGUUGAGUGUUGUCAUAUUAAAAAGGUCUUGACUCCAUCUUUACAUUGUCAACAUUAAAAAUUUGGCAGCUACACUAUUCUUUUUUAUCAUCUCUCAUUCUAUUUUUGAAUUUUUAAAAGUUGUGUCAAAUUUAAUAUUUAAUCAUUGUAAUUAUGACUCUCCAAUAUAAAUUUUAUUCAUUCUAAAUUUUGUAAUUUGUUAUUAUAUGUAGGAAUUGAAUUAUCAGUCAUAUUGCUUUUUCAGGUCUGAUUACAUAUAUAAAACAAUGUAAUUUUGUAACAUUUUUACAAAAAAGUCUCAUGCACACGGGUCACGUACUAGUUUUUUUAUUAACAAGAAAAAAAAAUAUAAAUCACUUUAAGGGUGGUCCAACCCUUUUACACAACACCUCACUCAGAAGCUUACCACAAAUAUCCUACUUGAUGAGCAACUAAAAAACAAGCCAUCAAAUCAAAAUAAAGACACAUAAGAAACAACCUAACACCUCAUCCUAACCUUUUAAAAAACAAAAGGCCUAGAGUUUCUAAGUUUCUUGAUCAAAUACAUACAAACUAGAGAAUCAAGGCAACAAUCAGAAUAAAAAAAAGCAUGUAGAGAAAAUUUAGAAGUAACCUAAGACCAUACCUUUAAUUGAACCAAGGAAAAUAUUUCAGAAUGAUCCUUCACUCCACCUCUAAAAAUGUGCUUAUUUCUGGGUCUCUACAUCUCACCAACAACUGCAGUACCAACGCUUCCUCAUACAACAUUGAUAUAAACAAGUACAUUAACAAGUUUGAAAUGCUAGUAGCGUGAAUAAGGAUCACAAUAAUCUACUGAAGUCAACCAUAACCAUGCAUAACAUUGGUUCCAAACGAGCAGAGACAAUUAAAAGCAAGAAAAACCCCUUUAUAAAUUAACUCUUCCCUCUUGCACUCCCGCCAACAAAAAGCUGCUACUCUUAUAAAAGUCCACUUUUGUUAACAUAAGAACGUCUCCUCAAACAUGCAAAACAUCUUGCUACAUCCUCCCUAAAGCAAGGGGUUAGCUAUACAAAUUCUUUAAAUCUAAAACACUACUUGUUAACAUAUAUCAUACAUUCUUAUUGUUCCAAACACUAUAUAUUCAGAAUAAGAGAACUCAGCAUAUUUUUCUUUACAUGUAAUCAAAGCUCGGGUUUUUCUAUGUACCACCGCAAAGACCUCUAAAUAAUAAGCUCUCCCAUUCUUAAAACUCUUAUGUUCCUAUUUUCCAUAUUUUACCUACCAAAGCAAUCCACAUCCCCUCAAACUCUGGAUAAUUGACCAUUCACAGUAACAGGGCAAAACAUCAAAAAAUGUACCUUAACAUCAAAGCGAUUCAUCGACAGACAACUCAGCCAAGACAAACACAAUUCCCAAACUUCCCAGGCAAAUUUACACUAAAAAAAGAGAUGACUAACAUUUUCCUCCUCCUCACGGCACAACCCAUAUAAACUAUUUACCAAGAUAACACCUUACCUCAAUAGAUUAUCCUUUGUUGCUAUACUAUUUUGCAACACCCUCCAAGCAAUAACUUGUGCAGAUGGGAGGGACUUGACCUUCCAAAACCUCUCAAAAAGGAUCAUAUCACCACCUCAAACCUCUUUCUUUAAAAGAAUUAUAAGCAGAUUUGAUGAAAAACCCAUUUUUUCAUCAUCCCUUCAAAUCCACUAGUACUUCACAAAUUGAAAUCAUAUUUUAGACAAUAAUAAUUUUAGAAAAAAAAAAUACAAUGGCUCUGCCUUAUCAGGAACAACAAAAAUGAUAUUGUUUCAAUUUUCUACUAGCACCGAUUAGCAAUAGAUACACUUUCCAGGAAAAUUCUAUACCUAAAACACUCACUAGUGUUUUAAGUAUAGAAUUUUCCUGGAAAGUGCAUCUAUUGCAAAUGGUAAGUAAAUAAUGUCUUUGGUUAUAAUAAUGGUGUUCCUUCCCAUUUUACAUCCUUUGUCACAAUUUCUAUGAAAGAAGAUUUAAGGCAAUAGACUCACUUGGAACACCAAUGUGAAUAAGAGAAACAUGUCUUAGAUAUAUGGUGUGCUAUCUAAACCUAAACCUAAACAGGAGGGUAAUAAAACUAUUGAAAUGAAGGAAACACUUAAGUCAUUAUUGGUAGAUAAAAGAAAACCUUCCCAUAAAGAGAGAGAGUUGAUCCACCAAAUUUUAGAAAAUAGAAUCAUAAAGAUCACUUGAUCAAAUAGUGUAUACAUAACAUAGAAACUGAGGACAACUUAUAGUCACAAUAACAAAAUAUUAAGGGUGGUCAUGGAUUGGAUUUUAGGUAAUUCGAUCUAAAUCCAAAUAUUUGGAUCUGAUUUAUAAUCCAAAUCCAUAUUUUUUAUAAAAACAAUUUGGAAAUCCAAAUCCAAAUAUUUGGAUUGGAUUUUAAAUCCAAAUAUUUGGAUUGGAUUUUAAAUCCAAAUUCAUACUUUUAUAUAUAAAAAAAGUAAAUAUUAAGAAAGUAUAAUAAAAUUAUAAUUUAAUAAUACCAAAAAAUUAAAGAUAACAUAAUAUAUAAAUUCUUAACAUUAAAAUACACCUACCUAUAAUACUUUAAUUAAACUUUGAAAAUAUUAUAUUAAUUUAUUAUAUGUAAAAUAUUGGAGCAAAAACAAUUAUGAAAAAAUAUAUAUAAAAUUUGAUUGCUCCAUGUGUGGGUGAGAGAGAGCAAAUAAAAUUUCAAAAAAUGAAUAAGAGGUGCCGCUGGAGAGAGGUUUUUUUUUUUUGAUCAACAAAGAAUAUAAUAUAAUAAAAGAGAUACUUCAGGGGUAUCUCAACCCGUAUACAGAACCACAAUACCCAAACCAACUAAGUUAUAGGUUUCUAAAGAAGACAAUAACACUCAUUCAGAGUCAAUGAGCAUUCCUUCCACCAACCUACACAAGUGGUCUAAUGAAACUAUUGCUUAAGGUCCCCACAAUACCACAAUUCAACACUCAUUAUGACACUUGUGCAGUAAAACCAAGUAUAAUAAUAAUAAAAGAGACUGUGGCAGCAUCUAAGGAAUUAAAUCCAAAGCUCAUCUAUCUACUACCUACGUAUGCCCUUCUAGUAACACUUCUGCCCUCCCUUCCUCUCCAUCAUGAUGCUCCCAAUUUGUUCCAAGCUUCUUUGGCCAUAUUAACAUCUCAAUUCUGGCUCAGAGUCUCCCUUCCACAUACUAGUUUACUGAUAUGCAAUGUCUUGGCAUUGUUCAUCUUCCAUGAACCAGCAGCGGUCUUAAGCGUCCAAUAUACCUUACAUGGCCACCUGCAGGAUUCAUUUGACAGUGUUCCAUUCCUUACUUCAUCUUCAUACCCAACACCAAAUUCCCUACACCCUUACUAGCAUUCCUUCAACCAUACUAGCAAGCCAAUUCCUACCAUUCUGCUUCCAUUAUUCCUUAUGUAGCAUCUUCAGCAGCAGACCCCAAUUUGAUUUGUGUACUUCUACAUUUCACCAUAUAAAAAGGGAGCUCGUACGAUACUUCCACCAUUACUUUAGCACCAACCAGCUGCUUCCAAGGCUAUUACACCUAGCUCCCUGCAAGUAAUAUUCAACCCCACCAAAAUUUACACCAAACACAUAACAGAACAUUCUGUUUACUUUAGUGUCUCCAACCCCAAACCAAAAUUUCCACUGCAUUCCCAUUUCUUCUAAAUAGAGCCCACUUCGUUGGUGCAUGGUAUUGUCACACAGAAAAACUUGCUCUGUUAUCCCUUCAUUAGUGACUCCGUAUAGCUGCCUUUGCUUACUACACACCUGCAUAACAGAACCGUAAUACUAAUAGCAUCAAUACAGUAGUAAACUAAACCAUCACACCAAACAGUCCAAAAAGCCUUUCCCUUAAACAGAGCACACUUCCACCCUGAAAUCUGCAUAAACCAGCCAUGUUAUAAUCAUUUCUUUAGGAAAAUUUUCCAACCUUCCAUCGGCUCCUACACACGUUCCAGCCCUUCCAUGUAUAUACAAAUUCCAUCAACCUAACCAUUAGUCAGAACAAUUCACUACUAUUUAGGUUCAAUCUAUGGGCUCUUCAACCUCCUUAGAAGAUUCCAUAGCUGCCUAUCUCCGAGGUUGAUAACCAACAUGUUAUCCCCCCUAAGAUACCUGCAUACACAAAACAGGAUUGUUCCCGUAUGAACCCUUAUGCUCCGGGCUAAACUUAUCUUACACAAAGAAGGCAUUGGACUGGAUUCAAUAACCAGUCGAAGAAAUAAGAGAAAGCACUUUCCCUGUGUUUCAACCAUAGCCAGGACAGUAAUUAAGCAACUUGAAGGAUUUCCUCAGAGUCAGGAACCCUUUGUCUAAAGAUCACAUUAUUCCUGUGCUCCCAUAUGCAACGUACAAUCGCCGCCCACACUCCCUUCCAUACCUGAUUCUGUUUCUCGGACAUAUUAAAUAAGUGAAAGUUCAGAAAGUGAUUACAUAUGUCCUUGUUUUGAGCUCCCAAAACACCUAUCCAUCUGAAACACAAAAUCCACACUCUAUAUGCCACACCACAGUCCAGAAACAGAUGUUGGGUGGAUUCUUCGGAAAGGUUACACAAAGCACAGAGAGGGGAGUUCACCUCUACACCUCGUGACAUAAGAUUCUUGAAAGUUGAGAUUCUGUCCAAAAGGAUUCUCCAUGCAGUGAUUAGAACUUUUGAUAAAGCUUUGGCCUUCCAAAGAAGUCUAAAGACAUCAUUACCCGAUCCAGUUCUUUGGUCGACCAAGAUAGAAUAUGCUGAUUUCACAGAAAAAACCCCCUUGACAUCCCAUCUCCAAGUAAUAAAAUCCUUGGAUUCUUUAUGCAAAACUCCCGUAGAAAAAAUUGAUAGAAGUUCUUCCUCCAUGACCGACUCCCAUUGAAACCUCUCUCUCCUCCAAUUUAAGUUCCAAUGCCAACCAUAAUCAUCCCAAAAACCGGAGUCACCCACUGUCAUCCCUUGUUUUAAGGACAAAGAGAAUAAUUUAGGGUAAACAUCCUUGAGAUUAUUGUCAACAAUCCAAGAAUCCUCCCAGAAUUUGACUAAGUUCCCAGAUCUGACGUUCCACACUAGAGCUUGUUGAAACCAGCCUACACCCUCGCCUUCCCCACAUAAAUUAACUAGGUCUCUCCACCACCAAGAUUGGUAACACGGUCGGGUGUGAUUAGACCCAUUUAUCUCCAUAUAUUUCGACUCCAUAAUAUCUUUCCAUUUCCCCUUCUCAUCACUCAUUAAUCUCCACUUCCAUUUCGCCAUUAAAGCAUAGUUAAACUUCCUGACCUCUUUGAUCCCUAAAUGAGAAAGAGGUAGGUUUGGAGAGAGAAAGACGGAACUCCAAAUGAGAAAAAAUAUAAAAAGGUAGGUUUGGAUAGAGGACUAUAGAGAAAAACUACUUCCAAAAAUUUGGAUUGGAAAUUUGGAUUUUUCAAUUUUUAAAAUUUGUAUAAAUAAAAUGGAAAUCUGGUAAAUAUAUUUUUAAUGGAUUAGAAUUGUGUAAAAAUGGAGUAGUUUGACAAAAUCCAACCUUACAAAAUACCAAUAACAUGAUAAGCCAAAUCUACUAUAACAAUAGAUUGUAUAUGGGCUGAGAAUAUAAUCCCUUAUUUUUUCUUCUAAGUUAUUAUGUUUAUCUUUAACAGUAACUUCUUAGGCAUCAUAGGAUGCAAUUGCAUGAGAGGAAAUUUUCUAUGACUGGUCAACCCAUUAGUUUCAGUGAUGUUCAAUGUCUGAUGCCCCACUUCUCCACUUGGAACUUCCCAAUUAAAUUGGUGAACAAGGUUUGCUAGACCAGCUCAAUCACAUUCAUGGCAAACAUUAUUCCUGGACAACCCCUCCUUCCUGCUCCAAAUGGUAUCACUUCAAAAUCAUGUCCUUUCACAUCUAUUGAACUAUUUAAGAAUCUCUCUGGUUCAAACUGUUCAGGUUUGUCCCAAUAAGAAGGAUCUCUUGCAAUUGCCCAAGCAUUAACUAUUACUUGUGUGCCAGUUGCAAUGUCAUAGUCCAUCACUUUGGCAUCUUCCAUGGAUUCCCUUGGAAACAACAAGGGAACUGGGGGAUGUAAUCGAAAAGUUUCUUUAAUCACUGCCUUCAAAUAAUGCAUGCUAGUUAAAUCUUCCUCAGUUAUGCGAGUUCUGCCACUAACCGCAUUCCUUAUCUCACCUUUUAGCUUCUGCAUCACAGUUGGGUACAUUAGGAGUUCUGUCAUUAUCCAUCCUAGGAUUGUGGAGCUAGUCUCAGUGCCUGCAGCAAACAUAUCCUGAAAGAAGUACCCAUCAAUUGUCAAUUUCAUUGUCUACCUUAAAUUUCCAUGAACGAAAAUAAACUCAACAUGCAUUAAGGUUUUGAGCAACUAAUAUGUGACUUAACUUUUUAUUGGGAAAGUAGUGUAUAUGUCUUGAAAAGAAAUAACAAAAUCUAAUAGUGUUGAGAAACUAUAGAAUAAGGAUAGGAUUAGAGUUGUGUGUGAAUAUCGUGGAGGAUAAAAGACAUACAACUAUCCUGUUUAUAAUUUACCCUAACCUUUAUUUUAUUGUUAUUCUCUUAGGGUUUAGAUUUUAGGAAAGAAAGUAACAUAAUAAAAUAACAAUCACAUCACUCAGUUAAAGAAAAUAAUUUUUGAGUGAUAGACAACGAAAUUUAACAAAAAUUAAUCAUACGUACCAGGAUUAAAGCCUUUAUGGUUCUUUUAUCAAUGUGGAAUCCCAAGGAGUUUGUCUCUUGGAUCCUCAGCAAAAUGUCCACCAAAUCAUUCUGCUCUUCAUUAUCAGCACCAUGCACAUCAUGUCCUCUCCUACUUACAUGCUCAUCAACAACUUAAUCAAAAAAUUCAUCAAGCUGUUUAGCCACUCUCUUUGCCCUACCAUACAUUCCAUUAACGCUUCCCAACCAAUCAAGCCAAGGUAUGUAGUCCCCUAUAACUGAAGCACCCAACAGCUCCAUCAUCUCAUCCAUUGGCUCCCGAAGCUUACUCCCUCCUUCUCCACUGUAUCUCCUUCCGAGAGCAGCUCUACACACUAUGUCAUUUGCGACUGUAGUAAAUAAAUCAGUUAAAUUCACAGGCAUCGAAGAAGAACAACACUGCUUAAUCUUAUCCAUCAUUGUGGAGAUUUCCUCUUCUCUCACUACACCAAAGGACUGAACCUUUUUUGCACUGAGAAGAUGCAAGACAGAAAUACUCCUUAUCUGUCUCCAGUAGUUGCCAUAUGGAGCAGAUGCCACAUCUUUGUAAUCAUACAAGAAGAUAUCAAACAUCUUACGAUGUGGUCUGUUUGAAAAAACAAGGUCGUGUGUUUUCAUAACCUCACGAGCUGCCUCAGCUGUGGAAACCACAAGAACUGGCACCCUUCCAAAGUGAAGUAACAUUAAAGGGCCAUAGGUUUGAGCAAAGGAUUGGAGAUUGCGAUGAGUGAGGGCGCCAAGUUGGUGGAGAUUUCCUAUUAUUGGAGAGAAGUGAACAUUGUGUCGUGUGUUUUCUUUAAUUUGCUGUAUAAUUAAUUAGCAAUGCAGAACCAGGUAUUUAUAAUGUUUGUAAGAUAGGUGUAUUUGUAUACGUUUCUUAGAUUUUUUUUGUUUUCAAAUACAGUAUGUAUGUAGUUUCCGUUCCAAGAUAUAUUUAGAGAUUACGUGAAUGAUUUGAAAGUAGGAAAAUGAUACCUCUUAACACCACAGUUCAUUAAAUAUAUAUCUACUUAACAACUAAUUUUUUAAUAAAAUAUUAUAUAAUAAAAAAAUAAUAAUCAUAUGAAUGUAGUAGGAUGGUUCUAGAUAGUUUUUUUUUUUUUCUUUUGGCAAAGAAUUAAUGAAAUUAAAAGAGGGACACUUUAGGGAUGGUUCUAGAUAGUUAAAAGCUCUUAAAUUCAAUUUUACUAGAACUCUGUUUUUUAUUUUUUUUUCUUAGUAAUAUCUUUUGCAACAAUAUCUAUUCAAUCCCUUUUUUUUUCUCAAUUGUUUUGGUUUAUAUAAUCAUAAUCUUUUCCAUUUAUUCGAUGUUCUAUAAUUUCCUGAACAAAAAGUAAAACAUAAAUACUUAUUAAGUUUAAUUUUCUUGACAUGUUUGAAGAACUAGAAAAAGAAAAAGAAUUAGGGAACAAUCGCAAUAAAUAGAUAAAGGUAAAACUUCCAACCAUUUGCCACUAAAUUAACAAUACAAGUUUCUUUAAUAAUAUAUACAAGUUGUUUCGUUUGUUUCAAAAGCCCUAAAUAUUGGAACCAAGACUUUUCUAUAUAUGCAAAGUUUACUAAAAUCACAAUGAUUGUAAAUUUUAUCUCGAGAAUGGAAAACAUAUGUACGACCCAUUUGACCACAUAAUAAGAUACGUGUUACUUCUUGCAAACCUCCACUUUAUCAUUUUGUAUUGUUUUUAAGCUUUCACUAUGCUAUGCAUGAACUUUCAGCUAUUCAGCCUAAUCAUCUUAUGAUAGUGAUCUGAUUUGAUAUUAUAAAUGUCAACGAGCCAUUUUUUUUUCCCAAAAUAAAUUAUUUCACUGACUUUUAAACUUAAAAAUGAAAAAUUGUUUAUAAAGAUUAUAAUCAAAUUCUAUUUAUAAUUUUUCACAUGUUUAAUAGAAAAGAUGCCUUUUAAACUCAUCAUCAAAGACUAAAAUUAAAUGAAUUUUUUUCUCGAACGGGUUAGGACUAAGAGAAUUAUUACCUUUCUCUUUGGUUGAUCAGUCGUUUUCUACUUCUUCCCUUUACUGAAUCCUUCUCUUCUUCAUUGUCCACUACAAGAAAAUCAUCAAAUAGAAACCAAUUUUUAGAAACCAAAAUAAUUAGUUGCAAUAGUAACUAAAUUAGAGACCAUUUUAGAAACUAAAACAAAAAUUGGUUUCUAAAUUAGUUUCUAUUAUUUUCUAUUAUUGUUAAAUAGUUUCUAAAUUGGUAUCUAAUUAGCAACCAAGGUUUUAUCUACCAAUUAUUUAGUUUAUAAAUUUAGUCUCUAAAACCUUGGUUACUAAUUAGAGACUAAUUUAGAAACUAUUUAAUAAUAAUAGAAAAUAAUAUAAACUAAUUUAGAAACCAAAUUUUGUUUUAGUUUCCAAAAUGGUCUCUAAUUUAGUUACUAUUGCAACUAAUUAUUUUGGUCUCUACAAAUUGGUUUCAAUUUCAUGAUUUUCUUGUAGUGGUCCUCUUUCUUGUAAAUUCCAAGUCCAGAUGGUACCUAGAAAAGACACUCCAAUGUUCUAGUGACAUCUUAGUAUUCGGUCUAAUUAAUGCGUGAUGAUGAUAUACCUUUUUAUCGAAAUCUAUGACUAUUUAUAUGAUUAUCAUGGGCCCUUUGUUAUUGGGCCGAAUUAGGGUUUUAGAUCAUAAUUAAGAGUGUAUUACCUAAUGCUUAAUCGUUAUUUGAUCUUGUUAAUCUUCUGUUAGUCUUAAUGAAUUUGAUCGUGUCGGUCGGCUCUAGUCGGAUGUUGAGACCUCCAUCUAUCGUUCAGAUCCAAUCGGUACAACUUUUGUUACAAAUUAAAUACACUAAAAGAAAAUGAUUAAAUAAAAAUCAAUUUUAGAGACAAAAUAUAAUUAGUUGCUAUAUUGAUUAAAUUAGAUAUUAUUUUAGAGAUUAAAAAAAUUAUUAGUAUCUAAAUUUGUUUUUAUUAUUGAUAAAUAGUUUCUAAAUUGGUAUCUACACUACAAUAAAAAAAUGUUUUAACAGAGGUUUAUUUUUACAAUACCAAAGGUUAAAACCUUCGUUAAGUCAUUUAUCCUAGGUGGCAGUUUCCUCCGCUAAAUCAUCUAUGGGGAAUGUGUUACUUGGGGUGUUUUAAAACCUCUAAAAAAAUCAGUAUUAACCUUAGUUAAAUACAAUUGGUUUAAGAACCUCCGUAAAAUACCAUGGGUUUGAGAACCUCCAUAAAUACCAUGGGUUUCAUAGCCUCUUUAAAAUAUUAUAGGUUUCACAACCUUCGUAAAAUACUAUGGGUUUUAAAACCUUCGUAAAAUAGUAUAAGUUUCAAAAUCUCCGUAAAAUAUCAUGAAUUUUUGAAACCUCAAUAAAAUAUCAUAGAUUUCACAACUAUAAACAUUCAUGUGCUUUAUGUAUUUUUUGAAUCAUUUAUCAUUUAUGCAUUCGCGUGCUUUUUUAAUCAAUAUUAAUUAUUAUUUCGUGCAAUACUUGUUCCAAUUUUCACAACNNNNNNNNNNNNNNNNNNNNNNNNNNNNNNNNNNNNNNNNNNNNNNNNNNNNNNNNNNNNNNNNNNNNNNNNNNNNNNNNNNNNNNNNNNNNNNNNNNNNNNNNNNNNNNNNNNNNNNNNNNNNNNNNNNNNNNNNNNNNNNNNNNNNNNNNNNNNNNNNNNNNNNNNNNNNNNNNNNNNNNNNNNNNNNNNNNNNNNNNNNNNNNNNNNNNNNNNNNNNNNNNNNNNNNNNNNNNNNNNNNNNNNNNNNNNNNNNNNNNNNNNNNNNNNNNNNNNNNNNNNNNNNNNNNNNNNNNNNNNNNNNNNNNNNNNNNNNNNNNNNNNNNNNNNNNNNNNNNNNNNNNNNNNNNNNNNNNNNNNNNNNNNNNNNNNNNNNNNNNNNNNNNNNNNNNNNNNNNNNNNNNNNNNNNNNNNNNNNNNNNNNNNNNNNNNNNNNNNNNNNNNNNNNNNNNNNNNNNNNNNNNNNNNNNNNNNNNNNNNNNNNNNNNNNNNNNNNNNNNNNNNNNNNNNNNNNNNNNNNNNNNNNNNNNNNNNNNNNNNNNNNNNNNNNNNNNNNNNNNNNNNNNNNNNNNNNNNNNNNNNNNNNNNNNNNNNNNNNNNNNNNNNNNNNNNNNNNNNNNNNNNNNNNNNNNNNNNNNNNNNNNNNNNNNNNNNNNNNNNNNNNNNNNNNNNNNNNNNNNNNNNNNNNNNNNNNNNNNNNNNNNNNNNNNNNNNNNNNNNNNNNNNNNNNNNNNNNNNNNNNNNNNNNNNNNNNNNNNNNNNNNNNNNNNNNNNNNNNNNNNNNNNNNNNNNNNNNNNNNNNNNNNNNNNNNNNNNNNNNNNNNNNNNNNNNNNNNNNNNNNNNNNNNNNNNNNNNNNNNNNNNNNNNNNNNNNNNNNNNNNNNNNNNNNNNNNNNNNNNNNNNNNNNNNNNNNNNNNNNNNNNNNNNNNNNNNNNNNNNNNNNAUAUAUACACUUAACAACUAAAUUUUUAAUAAAAUAUUAUAUAAUAAUAAAAUAAUAAUAAUCAUAUGAUUGUAGUAGAAUGGUUCUAGACUCUUAAGUUCAAUUUUGCUAGAACUCUGUUUUUUUUUCUUUUUUUCUUAGUAAUAUCUUUUGCAACAAUAUCUAAUCAAUCCUUUUUUUUCUUAAUUGUUUUGGUUUAUAUACUCAUAAUCUUUUCCAUUUAUUCGAUGUUCUAUAAUUUCCUGAACAAAAAAGUAAAAUAUAAAUGCUUAUUAAGUUUAAUUUUCUUGACAUAUUGAAGAACUAGAAAAAGAAAAAGCACUAGGGAACAAUGGCAAUAAAAAUAUAAAGGUAAAAGUUCCAACCAUUUGCCAUUAAAUUAACAAUACAAGUUUUUUUAAUAAUAUAUAUACAAGUUAUUUCGUUUGUUUCGAAAACCCUAAAUAUUGGAGCCAAGGCUUUUCUAUAAUUGCUAAGUUUACUAUGUACGACCCAUUUGACCACGUGUUAUUUCUCGCAAACCUCCACUUUAUCAUUUUGUAUUGUUUUUUAGCUUUGAAUAUGAAUAUGCUAUGCAUGAACUUUCAGCUCUUCAAGGUCAUCCUAAUAUAAUUUUAUGAUAAUUUUUUUAUUAACAAAGAAUAAAAAAAAAUAAAAAAAAAUACAUGCCCUAAUCCUUAUACAAAAAUUGGUCAAAGAUGAACUUAUUUAACACUUAAGGAACAAAAAUCUUGUUAAACUUUAUAAAUCACCAAACCAAACAUCAAAAACACAUAAAAAAAAAAAAAGUCAUAGCAACACACAAAACACCUUUUCUCAAAAGUCCUAACAUCUUUUAUGUGUUUUUUUACUCAUUUAUCAUUUAAACAUUCAUUUGAUUACCAAAAUUGUUUAUGUUUAUUAUAUUUAUUUAUCUUUUAUAAAGUACUUUUCUUAAUGAGAGUAAAACGUUUUAGUUUAUAACAAAUAUUUUUUUUUAUCAACUUGAAUUACUCAUUCGUGCAUUGUUCCAGUUUCUCACACGCACACCACCAACAAUCUCUAAUGCAGCAAAAUAUUUGUUCAGUUUCUUUGUACCUUUAUUUCCGCUUUUGUGUGUCAAGAUUCAAUUAAUUUCACCAACUUCAUUGGAUCCCAUUACAAUUACUAAGAUUUUCACCUCAAUCACGCUCACCAAUUUCUCACACAAGUCCAAGUCCCACACAAACACUGACAGACCAAUUUACAGCACCACGAAACUACAUACACUAUUCAAAAAAUCAUCAAAUAAAAUUUAAUUUUAGAGAUUAAAAAUAAUUAAUUAUUAUAUUGACUAAAUUAGAUACUAAUUUAAAAAUUAAAAAAAUUAUUAUUUUUUAAAUUAGUUUUUAUUAUUGAUAAAUAAUUUUUAAAUUGACACUAAAAGAAAUCAUGAAAUAGAAACCAAUUUUAUAGACUAUAGAUAAUUAGUUGUUACAGUGACUAAAUUAUAAACUAUUUUAAAAACUAAAAAAAAUGUUUCUAAAUUAGUUUAUAUUAUUGUUAAAUGGUUUCUAAAUUAAAAUUUAAUUAGCAAUUAAGGUUUUUGUUACCAAAUUUAGAAUUAAAUAAUUGGUAGUUAAAACUUUGGUUGGUAAUUAGAUACUAAUUUAAAAACCAUUUAACAAUAAUAGAAACUAAUUUAGAAACUAAUUUUUUUUAGUUUUUAAAAUGGUCUCUAAAUGUUUUUCUUGUAUGUGAUAUCUAAUUAACUACCAAAAUUUUAACUACUAAUUAUUUAAAUUCUAAAUUUGGUAGCAAAAAUCUUGAUAGAUAAUUAAAUACUAAUUUAGAAACUAUUUAUAAUAAUAAAAACUAAUUUUAAAAUCAAUAAUUUUUUUAAUCUCUAAAAUAAUAUCUAAUUUAAUUAAUAUAACAAUUAAUUAUUUUUAUUUCACUAUUACAUUAAGAUGCAUUCUACAACAGUUACAAUUUGCUUUGUUGCCACGUUUUUGAACCGUGAGCUACUGCACCUCCAGCGAUGAUUUAAUUUCAACUCAGCAUUCCAAUUUGUUAAACAAAAAACUACACCAAUUUGGUUCAUGUAAAGUUUAUUUUGAAUUGCAAUUCAACUUUAAUACCAAAUUGUUCCUGCCUAGUACAUUCCAGCCAAAACACCAAAUUUGUACAGUUGAAUCAAAGAAUAGUUCAGAAAUUGAAAUCAUAUUUCAGAAAGUAAUAAAUUUAGAACAAGAAAAACACAAUGACUCUGCCUUAUCCAGGAACAACAAAAACAAUAGUUUCAAUUUUCUACUAGCACCAUCAGCAUAUUCAAGCCACAAGUUAAAGCAUCAAUACAACAUUAUUUUUUCAAAAUAUUUGCUAAUUACUCUUUUAUAAUAUUUAAUUAUUUAAUUAUUUAAUUAUAUCAUGUUUUUUUAUUAUUAUUAUUACAUAUUUAGGAAUUAUAUGUUCGGUUUUAUUAAAAACUAAUUUUUCUUUUACAAUAUUAAAAUAAUAAUUUAUUAAGUUACGAAAAAUUGUCAAAUUUGUUUAUUCUCUUUCAAUUAUCGAGAUUUGUUUUAAGAAUUUAACAAAACAUUUGUUAUUUACAAAUUAUGUCUUUAAGUUUAAUGUGUUUUUUUAAUUAUUAUUAUUUACGAAUUGUAUAUUCAAUUUUAUUGGAAAUUGAAAAUUUUGAUAUAUAAUGUUAAACGAGAACUAAUUGUCAAAUUGAUUCACUAUCUACACGCGUGAAUAAAUUAUAUAUAUAAUACUGUUUAUUUAAUUAACAGAAUGAUUAAUUAAUUAGUACCUAUUUUCUAUCUUUUUAUUGUAAUAUUUUUAGUUUCAAUUAUCUAACUUAUAUAAUUUGUCUCAAUACUAUUUUAAAAUGGAUAAAUAAAUUUACAAAAUUAGAAAGUGCAAUCCAAAUUUAAUUUAUCAAACAAAAUAUAUUACUUACAACACACAAAUAUCAAAAUUAUUUUUAUAAAAUAAAGUAAGAAAUUUAAAUUUACUUUACCAUAAAUUAUUUUUAUUGAUUAUUUUGAAAAUUUUAAAAUAAUUUUUAUCGAUUAACAUAUUUUAAUUACUUAUAAAAAGUAUUUAAGUCAUCAAUUUUAAAUAUUUAAAUUUAGUGUCUACAUAUAAUUUUAGACAAAUAAUUUUAUAUUUCUAACUAUUUCUUACAAAUUAUUUGAAAUUUUAUUUUGUAAGAAUAAAUUUUAUACAACACCAUAAUUAAUAUAUGUAUAUAUUAAAGAAAUUAUAUAAUAAAUAUAUUACAAAUUUAUUACAAAAAUGGUCUAGUUUUGUUUAAAAUUUUGUCUCUAGCUACAUAAAUAUUAUAUAUCUUUUAAAAUAAUUAUAUUCAUUGGAUAUAAAUGAAUUUUAUGAAUAAGUAUUAAUACUCAAUUAUACAAUACGGUUAACUUUUGAAUAUAUAUAUAUAUAUAUAUAUUAUUUUUUAUUUGGCAUGUUUUAUCAUAAAUGAAAUGUUAUAUAAUUAUUAUCUAAAUUAAUUAAUAUUUAUUUAUUUAUAAAAUUACUUAUGUUUUAAAUUUUAAGUUAAACUUUAAGGAUUUGCUGGUUCAAAAAUAAUAAUAUAAAAAACAUUUUUUCUAUAACUAAAAUUUGUAAUUUUUUAAUGAAUAUAAUGAUAGACUUCAAAUUUUAUAUAUUAAAAUCACAAUUAUAAAUAUAUUACAACUCAAAAUAUUAUUACUAAUUUAUAUAAUGUUUAUAUUUUGAUAUGAUUUAGUUACUUAUCUAUACAAUAAUUAAAAAAAUAUAUAAAUUAUGUAUUAAGCACUUGAUAUACAUAUUUACAAAUUUUAUUAUAUAACAUAAUUGAAUAAUAAAUAGGAUAAAUAUGAUAUUUUUUUUUACUUUUUUAUAAAUUUUCUUUCAUACCUUAAAUCAAUUAUAUCUUAAAAUUAUAUUUAGAAAAAAAAAAAUUUAUUAAUGGUAAUAUGGUUUUUUUGUCUCUUCUUUUAACGAGCACUAAUACAGAAUAGUUCAUUAACGACGAUUAAAAAGGCUAUAAAGAUGAUUUUCAAACUGUAUUAUCUUAUAACAUCAGAUUGAAUAACAGAUGUUGUUCUUUCAAAGUUGGAUACAUUAGGGGAAAAAAACCUUAGGUCACAUUUUUUCUAAAUAAUUUCUGAAAUAAUGUAGCCAUAUUUUCUAGUAUUUCAAUAUGCGAAAAUCAUAGGAGAAUGAAAUAAACACAAGUACAAUUAUGGCAAAAUACACUUUGAAAUAUAUGAGAAUCAUAUUUAAGAUAAUUUUUUCCCAAAAUUAUAUUCUUAAAAUAAACUACUCAUUCUGCAAGCACAUUGUUCAUAUUAUAUGUCAAAGAUGAUUUUCAAUUUUCAAAGUUAGAAAACCCUAAGCUACUUGAUGCUAUGAAUCCCAAAGAUUUGAUAACCAAUAGGAUGCAGAACCAAUAAUAGAGGUCUCUUUGGGAAGGGACUACGAUUUACAAAUGUAAGGUUUUGUGAAGCUGUAAAGGCAUGUUGUUUUUAUUGCUACUACAAGAAAUUAUGCAAUAUUUUAUAGCAUAAUUAUGCCAUGCAAAGCACUAGAAGUGCCAAAAAGCAACGAUUUCAUAAAAAAAUAUGCAAAUAAAAUUUAACAGAGAACCAAAACAGAGCACAAUCAAGACAUUUGCAUCACGCUAAAAGACAAUCACAAUAAAAAAUUUCAAUCGAACGAAACAUUUAAAAAAAUCCCAAAAAAUAUAUAUCAGAAAUCAAAUCCAAUGAAGUUCAUCCCCAAACCCUAAAAUUGUUUUUAAUCCUAUUUUGACACUGAAAACCCUACCACAUGCGAAAAUGGAAGGAAGAAAACGUAAAUUUGUCUCUUCACAUCAUUUUGCUUUUGGCAAUGUCAUUGUCGUGAAUGAAUUUGAAGAACGAACCGCUUACCUUACUCACAUAAUGCCACUCCUAGUUCGUAACAAAUGGCUUAGGGUUUUAGAGUUGUCUUGGUUUUGACUUAGGGUUUCACUAGUGCAGAAAGGCAAAACAGGGGCGCCUUAUUAAGUGCGGUUUUACGAACAGACGCAAUCGUAGAAAAUGUGGUGGCAUUUUUUAAAUUAAGUUCAUUUACAAAUGCGACUAUUUGUAACAGCCGCACUCGUAAAUCAAAGCGCUUGAUUUUACGAGUGCGGUUGUUACAAAUAGCCUCCCUCGUAAAUCAUUUUUACCUUAACUUCACUUCAGAAGCGCGCCAUUCACUACUCUUUUUUUCUCCAGAAGUGUUCCGUGUUUGCACUAUGCUCUCAUUUGCGCUUCGAGUUCCUCUCUUUUUGAAGCGUUCGUGCCUUCGUGGUAAGUUUGUGAGCUUUCUUUCUUCUUCACCAUUGUAUUUUUUGUUCAUACAAUGUAUUGAUACUAUUCAUACUGUUGCAUUGCCUUCAUUGAUACUGUUGCAUUGCCUACGUAGGUUCCUCUCUUCUUGCUUGUGUGCUCCGUUGCUGCUUCCCCGUCCACCGCCUCGUUCGUUGUUGUCGUCGUGCCACCUUGGCAACGUUGCCUUCACACACAAGGUUGGUUUUAUUUUUUGAAUUUUUCUUUAGUGUUAUGAAUUUUUUUUAUGUAUUAUAAUUUUUAUUUUUUAAAAUUUAUAUUAUUUAGUGUUUAUUUUAAUUUUAAUUUAUAUUUGUUGAUCAAGGAUGAUCUUGAAGCUUUGAUGUCUCCAAAUCCAUGAUGUUUGAUGGAAGGCUGGAGUUGUUGUGUGUGUGGGAGGGUUUUGGGUAGAAUGAUGUGCAAUCCACUCUUUGUUUGAAUCUAAAACAGUUUGGAAUCAAAACUUUUUUGAAAAAUAAUGUUUUAUGAAGAAGUGGAAAAACAACCUGUUGUUUUGUCGUUUCAAUCGGUUGUUUAUCACUUAGAGGUUUUUGAAAAGGGUUUGAAGCUGUUUGACUUGGUUGACUUUGCUGUCAAACCAAUUCAAUCGGUUGUUUUGAGGAUUCAACCGAUUGUUUAUUGAAAACCCAUAAAAAAAAUUUAUUAUGUUUGCAAAUCAGCUUUAAAUGUUUUCUAGCUGAAUAGGCUCAUACUUUAAAUGUUUUUAACAACAUUUGGAGUAUUUAAAAAGGUUGUUAUACUCUCUUAAAGUUUGAUAACAAAUUUGAGACAUUGGUGAGAGUGUGAAAACAAAUUUGAGUUUUCAAGAUUUGCAUUCAAGAUUUUGGGUUUUCUCAAAGAAGUGGAAUAGGAUUGCGGUAAUCUUUCGAUUUGAUCUUCAUCAGGUGUAAUCCUUUCUGAAUCUAUUGUAUUUCUGAAUACUGGUGUGUAAGUGCAGAAUAAGAGGGUGUUCUGAUUUCUGUGGUGUUUGUGUGCCAAAGGAAGUGUGUUUCUUGAGGUGUUCAAGGUCAUUUCUUUGGUGGUGUGUUUGUAAUAUGGAUUUUGAUUGCAUUGUAGAUACCUAGUGGUUUCUGAGGACUGGAUGUAGCUUUUGGGAUAAGAGUGAACCAGUAUAAAUUGCUUAUGUGUUUUUCUCUUACCCUUAACUCAUUUAAAUUUUGCUUUUAAGUUGUUUUUGCUGAUAUAAACAACUGGGUGAAUCGCAAAAACAACCGGUUGAUUUUCUGUUAAUCAACUUAAACAUUUUUAAUUGAUUGCUUUCUGGAUUUCUAUAUCUGUGAUUCUGAUUUGAACUUCAUUAUACCUUUAAAGUUUGCGAAAAUCUUUCAUAAACAAUUCACCCCCUCUUGUUUAAGGCCAUAUAUUCUAACAAUUGGUAUUAAGAGUUUGGUACUUGAAAAAUACUCAAGUUUGAUCCUAAUUUUUUUUUUCUUAUGGCUGAAAAAUUACCCUUUGGGGAGGGUGCAUCAAUAAAUAGACCACCUUUGUUUUGUGGUUUGAAUUACCAAUUUUGGAAGUACGUAUGCAGAUCUUUGUUGAAUCUCUUGAUAAAGGAAUAUGUGAUGCAAUUGAAAAUGACCAUUUUAUUCCUAAGCUUGAAAAGGAUGGUGUUUCUAUUGAAAAGCCUUGGUCCCAAUGGACUGAUGCAAAAAACAAAAGAGCAAAGUUUGAUUGCAAUGCAAAAAGUAUUAUCACCUCUGCCUUAAAUUCUAAUGAGUUUUUCAGGGUCUCUCAAUGCAGAUCUUCUAAGGAGAUGUGGGAUACUCUAGAGGUAACUCAUGAAAGAACGAACGAUGUAAAGAAGGCAAGGAAACAUACUCUAAUCCAAGAGUAUGAGAUGUUUAGAAUGCUCAAGGGAGAAUCAAUUGCGGAUGUGCAAAAACGAUUCACUUACAUUGUCAAUCAUCUCGUGAGUCUUGGAAAGGUCUUUGACAAAGAAGAGUUGAAUAUCAAAAUUCUCAAAUGUCUUGAUAGAUCUUGGCAACCUAAAGUUACGACUAUCUCAGAAUCAAAGGAUUUGACAUCUUCGACUACAACCUUCUUGUUUGGAAAGCUUAGGGAGCAUGAGUUGGAGAUGAAUAGACUCAAGAUUCAAGAGAGUGAAGAUAAGCAUGUAAGAAACAUUGCCUUGAAAAAUGCCAAGCACAAGAACAAUCAAGUUUCAAGUGAUGAGAGUGAAGGAGAAACUCUUAGUUUUCUGUCCAAAAAGUUCAGCAAAUUCAUGAAGAAGAAUCGCAACAAAGACUCCAAUAAAGAAAGGUAUGACAACAAGAAAACUAGUGAUUUUAAUGCUAACAAUUAUACUUGCUAUGGUUGUGGAGAGCAGGGGCACAUAAAGACUGAAUGCCCAAAUAAAGAGAAGAAGUCGAGCAAGAAGGAAAAGAAAGCAAAAUAAAAAAGAGCCUACAUUGUUAGGGAUGAAAAUGAUGUCUCUUCAUCUAGCUCCUCAUCAAGUGAAGAUGAAGAAGCUAAUAUGUGUUUGAUGGCCAAGGAAGAGGAUGAUGCAAACAGUGUAAGUUCUUGUACUUCUUUAAAUGCUGAAAAUUAUAGUCAACUUCUUCAAGCUUUUAAAAAAACACAUGAGGAAGCUAAUCAUUUGGCACUCUUAAACAACCGAUUGAAAGGGUUGAAUAACUGGCUUGAAAACAGAGUCAAGGCAUUGGAAAAAGAGUUGGAGAAUUCAAAAACUGAUUGAAAAUCUAGAAAUAAUUUACAAGAACUCUUCUUGCAAGUGUGACUCUCUUGUUUGUGAAAAUUGUGAAUCUCUUGAAAAGAAGGUUCACUAUCUUGUGAAAACUGUGGAUAGACUUUCAAAGGGUAAAUCCAACUUUGAGAAUGUCUUGGCAUCUCAAAAUUGUGUUUUUGGAAAAACAGGUUUAGGUUUUAAUCCACAGAGCAAGAAGAAUGAGUUUUCAAAGUCUUUUUCAAAACUGGCAGAAAAACAACCGAUUGAAAAAUCGAAACAAUCGGUUGUUACAUGAUUUAUUGCAUGAAGAGAGGCCACUCUGUUAGAUUUUGCAAUACUAGGAAAUAUUUUGUUCCUAAAGGUGUUAUGAGAUGGAUUCCCAAGAAUUGUGAGGUUCCUCGUGAUAAAGUUAAUAUCAAAGGACCCACAUUUGUAAGAGGACCAAAUCUUGUUGCUUGAUUUCAUGGUUUUGCAGGAUUACUAAUAGAUUAAGGAGUCUUGAGUCACAAGAUCAAGCUUAUGAAGGAACUUUCUGGACUUCCAAUUACUGUUUUGUACAAGCUUAGUCUUCUUGAAAGCCAAGAGAAGUUACUUGAUCAUGGACAAUGACUCAUUGAAAGAACUACAUUGGCAAAAGGAUAAAACUUUCCUUGUUUUAAUUUUUUUUAAUAGUCUUUAAUUCAGGUGUAUGAUAAUUGAUGUCUGUAUUUUUCAUCUAUGUGAAGGUGCAUGUAAAACUUUCUUUCUGAUGCAUCUCUGGCAAUCUAUUAUUAAUCUAUGAAAUGCUUUAAUCUUUGUCACAGAAAAACAACCGAUUAUUUUCACGAAACAACCAAUUGUUUCCCUCUGGCAACACUGCAUUAAAUUGAGUUAAUUUCUCUAUGCAUUGUUUCUGUUGUAGAUUCUUUUCUCAAGAAGUUACAAGUCAAAAUUGCUUUUAUUGUUGGUCAGAUUUUGUGCAGAAAGAGUGUUAUUUUGGUCAUGAAUGGAAUAUAUUCCAUAUCUUGGAAAUUCAAGAGCUUUUAUGACUAGUCAAAUCCACAUGUCAUGACCAUGUGCUUUCUGGUAUUAGCUGACAUUUUUCUAUGCAAUCUUGGACCAAAUAAUUCUUCUUGAAGACUGAAACCCACUAAAUGGCAAGAAUUGAAGCUGCUACUUGUGCAUUUGUAGAACCCUAUGCAGUUGUUUUUCUUCACAAAAACAACUCAUUACCACAUCUCUUGCUGUUUUUCAAAUUUGCUAUUCCUUCUCAAACUGGUUUCUGUUUUUCUCUUUGCCUUCAUGGAUGCCACACCUCUUUCAUCAAAGAGGAUCAAAACAAGGGUUGUAAGAAGGGGAGGACGCAUUUAGGCAUGGUUCUCGGGUGAAGAUAAAAAGAUUGAGAAAUAUCUUCAUGAAACAAGUAGGAAGACAAUAAACAAUCCAAAGCUUAUCUCUUUCACUUGGUUAAAGGAGCAGAAGUUGGGUGAGCUGAGAAGUCUUCUCAAAGAACAAAUGCUGAAGAGGUUCUUGGAGAUGUCAGGGAACACAUACCCUGAACUUAAAAGGGUAUUGUAUACCGACCUUCAAUUUGUUGGAAAUAACCUUGUUUCUCAAGUAAAAGGGCUUGAUAUGGAGAUUACACAUGAAGUAUGGACUGCCAUCACUGGAUUAAAGUAUGCAGGGCUGCGAAUCAACAAAGGAAACAUUGGUGUGGUGGAGGAAUUUAAUAAAAUUCAGUUUUACAAGAAUUGCUUGGAGAAUCCUCAAGCUAAAGUGACAAAUUUUUCAGUGGGAGGUCUAAAAUUGAAUGAAAGGCUAAUUGCCUUAAUUGUGACAUGGAUGCUUACACCUAGGGGGAGCAAUCCUUUUGUGCUUACUGAGGAGGACCUUGUCUACAUGUAUUGCAUUAUGAACAAGGUCAAGAUCAAUUGGAUCCACAUCAUUAAGGAACACAUCCAGAAAUCAAUGAGGUUAAGUGACUAUCACUAUCCAUAUGCUGUAUUGAUUUCUAAAUUCUUGAAUUAUUUUGAAGUGGACCUUGAGGAAGAACAAACUGAAGUUGUGAAAUCAUCUCUUGAAGUGAACAAUGGUUCACUUAACAAGAUGGGUUUCACCAAGAUUGGUGGAAAAUGGGUGAGCAAAGAUGGUGAUCAAGGUAGUUCCUCAAGUGGUGUGCAUGCUGGACAAUAAGAGAAAGAUUUUGAUGCUGCUGAAGGUGUUGGAGUUGAUGCUCAAGAAGAACAUACUGUUACUGAUAUAGGUGCUGGAACAAGUGCUGGAAAUCAAGGAGAAAUGAUUCUCUCAAUGUCUCCUUUUGAGAGGUUUAUGGUUAAUAGAAUGAACAACUUUGCUAAAAACCAAAGGAAUCUCCAUGAAUUUUGUGUUACAAAUUUUCAUAACUUUGAUGACAAAUUCCAAAGCAUGGAUACACGUUUCUAGAACCUUGACGAACAGAUUGAAGUUGUUCAAAACCAAAUAUUUGAGCUGCAGUAUGGAAAGGAAGAUUAAAGCAAAGUUUUAGUUAUGUUUAUGCUUAUCUUGCUUUAAUUUUUGGACAUUUCUUUCUUAUUUUUGUUUUUAUUCCUUUCUUCAUUAUAUUUGUGAAGACAAAUAGGGGGAGAAAAUGUUGGUUUAUGUGUUGUGUAUGCUGCUAUUACAAACUCUGAUUUCAAGUUUUUAAUUCUGUUGCAUUGCUGCUGCUACACUCACUGCUUUUGGCAUAUUUUUGGACUGGUUUUUCUACUGUUUUGAUUAUGCAUAAAACUAGUGAAUGUGCCUUGAUAACCUGCUACCAUAUAUGUUCUAUGUUUGUAUAGUUUUUGUUUGCAAGUACUGGUUCAUAUUCAAACAGAUCAACACAAGCAACCAGGGAUUUGUCUUCAUCAAAUAGGGGGAGAUUGUUGAUCAAGGAUUGUGCAUGAAGCGAAAAUACAUGAUGUUGUCUAUGAUGAUAUCCGGUCCGAAACAGCCAGGGAAUGACAUAGAUGUUUAUCUAAGUUCCCUAAUAGAAUAUUUGAAGUUAAUGUGGGACUAGGGUGUUGAAGUAUUUGAUGGAUUUGCUACUGAAACUUUCAAGCUUCAUGUCAUGUUAUUUUGCACCAUCAAUGACUUUCCGGCAUAUGGUAACUUAUCAAGUUACAAUUUUAAGGGUCAUAAAGCAUGUCCAAUAUGUGAAGAAGACACUGCUUCUCAACAAUUGAAAAAUGGAAGGAAGACAAUAUAUCUUCGGCAUCGGAGAUUUCUUAGAAGUCAUCAUCCUUACCGGAGGUUGAAAAAAGCCUUUAAUGGACACCAAGAGACUAGUGGUCCACCAACUCCAUUAACUGGUGUUAAGGUUUACGAAAAGGUAAAUAACAUAGACCAUACCUUUGGUAAGUCAAACAAAGAGUCAUCUGUGACAAACAUUUGGAAGAAGAAACCAAUCUUCCUUGAUCUUCCGUACUGAUCAAGGUUAGAAGUCAAACAUUGUAUAGAUGUAAUGCAUGUUGAGAAGAAUGUGUGUGAUAGCUUAAUUGGUACACUUCUUACAUUAACGGGAAGGCGAAUGAUGGUCCAAAUGCUCAUUUAGAUUUGAUUGAGAUGAACAUACGAGGCAAGUUGGCACCCAUAGAAGUCGGUAAGCGUACAUAUUUGCCCCCAGCCUGUUACACCAUGUCAAAAGAUGAAAAAAUCAGUUUUUGUCAAUGUCUAAAGGGUGUGAAAGUGCCACAAGGAUAUUCCUCAAAUGUGAAGAGCCUAAUGUCAAUGCAAGAUUUGAAGUUAAUUGGGUUGAAGUCUCAUGAUUGCCACAUCUUGAUGCAACAGUUGUUGCCGGUAGCUAUUCGUGGGAUCUUACCAAAAAAUGUUAGACAUACCUUAACCCGUUUGUGCUCAUUCUUCUCUUCCAUCUGUUGUAAAGUCAUUGAUCCAUCAAAACUAGAUGAACUUCAAAAUGAAAUUGUUGUUAUCUUGUGUGAAUUGGAGAUGUUUUUUCCUCCAUCUUUUUUUGACAUCAUGGUUCAUCUAAUGGUGCAUAUGGUAAGAGAGGUUAGAUUGUGUGGACCAGUGUACUUAAGAUGGAUGUAUCCUGUUGAGUGGUAUAUGAAAAUUUUGAAAGGUGAUGUGAAAAAUCAUUAUCGUUCAGAAGCUUCAAUGAUUGAAAAGUACAUAACUGAAGAAAUUAUUGAAUUUUGUUUAUAGUACAUGUCAAAAGCAAAUCCAAUAGGUCUUCCAGCUAAUUCAUGGCACCACAGGCGUUCUACAAGUAAAUGUUUACGUGGUGUGAAUAUUGUAAGCAAAUCUCGAUUAGAAGUCUUGCAAGCACAUUUGUAUAUAUUGAAUAACACAGAUGAAGUUAUACCUUACAUAGAAGCUCAUAAAGCCAUUGUGAAGGCAAAUAACCUAAGACAAGUAGAGAAAUGGGUCUUGAUGGAACAUAAUUGAACUUUCAUGCCUUGGUUUAAAGACGAGGUGUUAAAGAAUUCAACGGCAUCAGAGACCUUGACCUGGUUGGCUGCUGGAUUGAAGUUUGAUGUCAUUUCAUGUAAAGCGUACAAAGUGAAUAAUUGUAUAUUUUACACGAAGUCUAUGGAUGAAAAUAUUACAGUUCAAAAUUCUGGUGUUACUCUUGAAGCCGAGUCAAUGCAUUUUUUGACUUCGAAAGAUACAAAUCCUGUACUUGGAUCAAUGGCAUACUAUGGGUUUAUAAAAGACAUAUGGGAGGUUGACUACACUAAGUUUUUCGUUCCAGUUUUCAAGUGUAAAUGGGUUGACAAUAAAAGUGGGGUUAAAAUUGAUGAAUCAGGAUUCACACUAGUGGACUUUCGAAGGAUAGGGUAUCGAUAUGAGCCAUUUGUAAUGGUUCAACAAGCAUCUCAGUUUUUCUACGUGAAAGAUCCUAUGUCAGAACAUUGGUAUGUCAUUUUACACGGGAAAAAACAAGGGGAGGCCAUAGAUGAUACUGAAAAUAGUGGCCCUCGUUCAUUCACACCAAUGAUAAUUAAUAAAGAUGACGAUGUACUUGAUGAUGUACAUGCAACCUGUAAAGACCACAGUGAAAGAAUUUACAUAUGAACAUUCAACCCACAUGCAACCCGUAAAUACGCAUUUAUAAUUUUAUGUAUUUGUUUUAUAUGAUUUUAAUUCGAUGCAGAUUAACUAAUGUUAGUUACCUAAUUUUUUUAACACAGCUAUGAAUGACGAUCAAAAUCCAAUCAGAUCUUGAUCCGGACGAGUCAGCAUAGGACCUACUAGAUUGAAGUGUCUCGCAUUUAAACGUGUUGUUGGUGAGAAGACACGUGUUGACAUUGACGUCAACACUAGAGUGGCUUUUGGUCCUCAAGCAGAUGAGUUUAUGAGCUAUCUUAGAGUUGUUUCUCGUGAGAGGCUCUCCAUUUUAAUUAAUUCAUGGGAUGUGGUGUCAAAGGUCGAUCGGAACAUGAUCUGGGAGGAUGUUAUGGUAAGAUUUACAUUUUUAUUGUUACCAUAUAAUGCUUUUUAAUAUUCAUUGAUUAAUUUUAAUUUGGUGAUGAUAUUUUGCAGGCAAAUUUUGAAAUUCUUGAUGUGGAACAGCUUCGAUCAAAGAUUAUAUUCAAUACCGGACUUAAAUUCCGUCACUUUAAGUCAAGACUAACUUCAAGAUAUGUUUUUGGCGACCUUAAAGACGAAAAUCCAUGUUUUUAAAGUACAAAAAUAUUUGAUGAAGAGACAUGACGUCUUUUUAAAGAAAGCCGUGAAAAUGAAGCUUGGAUGGUAAGUGAAGUUACUUAACUAUUUUUAUUUAUAUAACAUUAAUAAGUUUAUCUUAUUUAAUUCACUUUGUUUAUUUCAAUUAUGACAGGAUUGUCGGAAGAAAGCUAAAGAGAUAGCUUUGAAGAAUGUUACCUCGCACGUACUAUCUCGUUCGGGGUAUUGAAAGCUUGAGCAAUCACUGUUGGUGGAAAAGGAGCAAUCUAGACAGGGGACGUCGUCUGAGAAUGUGGAAACAGGGGUCACUUCUGCUCCAUCACCACCUUUUCGCCAUGUAAAAUGGAAAAGGGCCCAAAUUAAAAAGUCGGGUGCACCAAGUUCUAAGCAAUCCGGGGUUUUCAUCGAAAAAAUUGUAAGUUAUUUGUUGUUUUUUUUCAUUUAUUUUAAAUCAUUAAUUAUAUUAAAACUAAUAUGAUUUUUGUCUCUUGCAGGAUUCCUUGGAAUCCCAAGGUAAUCCGAUCAGUCAUCCUCCUCCCCCAAAGAGAGCAAAGCAAAAAUGAAGACUAAGAUACGUGAAGAAUUAAUGGAGGAGAUGAGAAAGGAGAUUGAUCGGAUGUGGCUAGAGAUGCGAAAGGAGAAUGAUCGGAUGCAGCAAGAGUUUCUAUCGAAAGAACUUUGUGCUGAGUCGAUUCAACCCCUUGUUAGUCCCAUUCCCAAGAGCACCAAGGGGAGUUGUGCGGCUCCUACAACAUCAGGGGAGGAUAUCAUUGGGUAGAUGAGGGAAUGUGAGCUACUGGUAGCGGGCGGCAAGCUCCCUCAGGUGAUGACCCUUGGAAAAUUCUAUGAAGAGGCCACCACCUUACAUAACGUUCCUCUCUCCCCUAAUGUGACGAAGGUAACAGUUGAAAAAGUACGAGUACCUGAUGCUCGUGUUCCACUACCUUCAAAUGAGGUAACCACUGUGGCUGAUGCAUUUCAGACAUUCGUUGCCUGGCCCAUACACCUCAAUUUGAAUUAUGCCAGGACCUCAUGUAAUAAUUUAAUUUCAUUAUAUUAGUUUAUAUUUAUAUUUAUAUAUUACAUAUAAUUUAAUACAAAUGUUCUUUAUUCUGUAGAAACCUCGUCGGAAACCAAGUUCAGAAAAGAAGCAUUAGGUUCUGGUUGACGAUCCUAUAGCUUCCUUAGCUCUAACUGCUAGACAAAUUGGUCAAGAUCCUUUUGAAGAUCCCUGGGAUGAUACAUUUUUUCAAAUAAACACUGAUCUGCCACUGUACAUGUACAUGACAGAUUUAUUAGAAUUUGUAGCUGGAGAUUAGGAGUUCAAUAUAAAUAUAAUUCAAUUUUUUAUGAUGUAAGUAUCUUUACCUAUAUUUCAAUUUACUUUAUGUUAAAUUAUUAUUGAUUAUGCUUUAACUAAUAACUUGUAGGUUUUUGCAUGGAGUCUGUCUCAAUGAGGAGAAGGAAAAUGUGUAUAGAUUCUUAGAUCCUGCAUAUACUAAUCCCACUGGAGCAAAAGCAACAGAGACCCAAUCAUACAUCACUAACACCCUGAAAAAAGAGGGAAAACAAAUUUAUUUAUGCCUUUAUAUUAAUGAGUAAGUUUAAUUAUAUGUUCUCAAUUAUUAUUAUUUCAUGUUUUAAAUAUUUACUAACUCUUUUCAUGGAUAAUAUAGGCGUCAUUGGUAGUUACUUGUCUUAUUAAUGGUUGAUAAGACUGUUGUGUGGUUUUGUUCCUUACACAAGAAGAUACUCCCAAAUCUUAAGAAUAUCAUUGAUACGUAAGUACAUUAUAAACUUAACUUUGUAUGUUACUAAUUAACCAUCUACUAACGAGGUUUUUUUGUCUUAACCAGUUCAUUUGCUUGGAUAUAACAUCCUAAAAGGUCGAUCCACUUUAAAUAAUUUGAAUUGGAUAAGAAUAAAAGUUUGUAAUUUUUUUUCUUUCUCUUUUCAUUGUUUAUCAAUAUACUAACAUUUACUUUUUAUUGAAUUAUAGUGUAAUAAACAACCAGGAAGCUAUAAGUGUGGCUAUUACGUUAUGCAAUGGAUGAUUACCAUUGUAAGACUAUGCAUUAAAAGUGGUUGGAAAGAGGUAACAUGAUAUGUUAAAUUAUUUUUAUAAUUCUUGAACAUAUAUGUAUCUUAAAACUAAUUUAUGUCAACUAUAUUGUGAAAUUCACUUCUUCACGGAAGAAGUACCAAUGACUUCGGAAGCCAUAGCAUAUGUGAGACAUUCUUGGUCCAUAUAUUUCAUAAAUUUUUAUAACUCCAGGAUAGUUGAUCAAUAGUGUAGGGAUUAUAUGUAAUUUGAUUAGUGUUUGCAAUGUACAUUUUGAUCAAUAUAUAUUUGAUUCUCUGAAUUUAUGUAUUUUUCUGGCUGGGUAUAUAUAAUUGAACAAGUUAAUUUAUAUGAUAAUUAGCACUAAACAGAUUGCACUAAAAAAACACUAUUUACAAGGGCGGCUAUUAGCAUAGUUGCACUCAUAAAUGUGAUUUACAAAGGUGGUUAUUUACCAAAGCCGCUCUUGUAAAUCACAUUACGAGUGCGGCUAUGGUAAUAACUGCACUUGUAAAUGCAUUACCCCUAAACCCUGAUUCAGAAGCAUAUACAAGUGCGGCUACCAGAAAUAGCCGCCUUUAUAAAUAGUAUUUACAAAUGCGGUUAUAUAGCCGCAGUUGUAUCUCUUCGAUUUAGGAAUGUGUGCUGAUCAAAUGCAGUUAUAUAGUCGCCAUUGUUUAACCAUUAUGCAUUAGUGUUAAGACAUGAUUUCUCCUGGUUUCAGCUUAGGUUGUGUAUAUACAAGAGUCUUUGUCCGUGACGACACAGGCUAUAUGACUUCUAGCUCAAUGACGAGGUUCGUGACAAGGUUGAUUCUUAAGGAUUACAUGGACUUAAUUAGCACAAUUUAAAAACGUAUUUAAUCUUUUUUUAAAAUGUUAUCUAAAAUAGUAGUUAAAGCACCACAUUUUUAAAAAUAUUGUCUAAAAUGCUAUUUAAAAUAUCUACAAUUUUAAAAAUGUUGUUUAAAGUACUCACACUCUAGUCCACAUUUUAUAAGAUGUUGUUUAAAAUAAAUAGGCAACACUUUUUUAAAAUGCUUUGAUAUAAAGUAAAAAAUCUUACUAAGUGGGUAACAAUAAAAAAGUAUUGCUUAUACUCACUUUCGGCAACACUUUUCUAGCCAUUUUCACUCACUACACCAUUUUUUUUACCUUAGACAAUGCCUAAAAAGCGUUGCCUAAAGUAGGAAAAGUGUUGUCUUAACUUUAGGCAACGCUUUGGUAACGUUUUUUUAGGCGUGGAAUAUGCAACCGUGGACUUAGGUUUAGAUAAUGUUUUUUUGCAGUCGUUGCCUUAUACUGGUAGAAUAAGCAACAUUUUCCCAAAAAAAUUUAGGUAACGCUUUUUCUCUUAAUGUUUAGGUAACACAUUUUUAGUGUUAUUGCCACAUUUUUUUAAAUGUUGUCAUUGGUAUAAUCAACAUUUUUUUUAAAUGUUGUCAUUGGUAAAGGCAAUGCUUAUUUACAUGUUGCCUAUCUUUUUAGGCAACACUUAUUUACAUGUUGUUCGUCUUUUAGGCAACACAUUUUCAGUGUUGCAUAUUGAUAGAAUAGGCAACGCAUUUUCAGUGUUGCAUAUUGAUAAAAUAGGCAACGUUUUAUUUUUCAUAAUGUUUAGGCAACGCUUAUUUACUUGUCUGUCUUUUUAGACAAUAUUUAUGUACAUGUUGUAAGUAUUUUUUACAACACUUUUUUAAUGUGAAAACUUAUGAAAAACAUCUUAAUUUAUAAAAUUACGUUAUAUGCAACAUUUUAAACUGAUUUAAAACAUAAUUUCAUUGUAUACCAAAAUAUUUCAAAUGUGCAAGUUGCAUUUUUCAUUGUAUACAAAAAUAGUAGAAGUUGUAAUCAUUACAACUAAUUAGAGUUAGGAAAUAUCUCAAAAUUUCUACAUUUCUUCAAUCGAUCAUAAAUCUUGUGACACCAAAAUUAGUUUUUAUUAUUGAUAAAUAGUUUCUAAAUUGGUAUCUAAUUAGCUACCUAAGUUUUAGCUACAAAUUAUUUAGAUUCUAAAGUUGGUAUCUAAUUAAAUACUAAUUUAGAAAUCAUUUAUCAAUAAUAGAAACUAAUUUAGAUACUAAUCAUUUUUUUAGUCUCUAAAAUAAUAUCUAAUUUUGUCAAUUUAACAAAUAUUAUCUCUAAGAUUGAUUUAUAUAUAAUGAUUUUCUUGUAGUGUUUUAAUUACAUGAUUUGUCUCCUCAAUUUGCGUCUUAUAUACACAACUUUAAUUUAAAUUUAUUAAUCUUCAUGGCCAUCUCAAAUUUUAAAAAUGCAAAAUAGUGAAAGAAAAGAUGCCAAAUAAAUCAAAAAAACUUGAAACGAUAUGAUAGAAUUUUUGUAUGGUAGAUGACUUUAAAAAAGGCGUUAAGAUUGUUUUUGAAGCAUAGAUUACAUACCAAAUAAUGAAAUUCGAGUUAUUCAUCUUUUAAGAUAAUUUUUUUUACAGAACUGUUUAUUAUUAUUUAUUUUCCUCAAAAUUUGUGUCAUUGAUACUUGAACAAUUUAUUUAUUUACAUAUACUAUUUAUGUUUAUGCAUUUAUUAAUUUUAGUAUAUUUAGUUUUUUAUUUAUUUAUUCGUAUAUGUCUGAUGUUAUUUCUUAUAUAUUAAUAUUUGUUUUGUAUUUUUUUUCUAAUUUAAAUUUACAUUUACAUUUACAUUUAUAUAUAUAUAUAAUUAUAUAAAAAUAUAUUUGUACUUCUUUAUAAUUCAUAAAUUACAUGCUAAUUAAAUUUGUAAACAUGUUCGUACUUAUUGUUAAUUGAUUUAAAUAUUUAUAUCUUUUUAUAAAAAAUAAUAAUUAAUAUAUAAUUAAUGAACAGUGAUGAUAACAUAGUUAAUUUAAAUAUUUAUAUCUCUUUACAAAAAUUAAUGAUUAAUAAUUACUAUAUAAUUAAUGAACAGUGAUGAUAAAAUAGUUAAUUUAAAUAUUUAUAUCUCUUUACAAAAAUUAAUGAUUAAUAAUUAAUAUAUAGUUAAUAAGCAGUGAUGAUAAUAAUUAAUAAAUAUUUAUAUAUCUUCAUAAGAAUUAAUAAUUAAUAUAUAAUUAAUGAAUGAUAAGAUCAUUAAUUUUUUUUAAAUAAAAGCUUUCAUGUUAGGCAUCACUAUGUCAUUUAAGAUCUCAGCUAGGCUGAGACUUCAAGUAACAACAAUCAUUUACCAUCACAUGAAAAAAAUAUUAUUAAAUAAAAGAAAAAAGAAAGAAAAUACAAAAAUACGGGGGGACUAGACCAAAACCCUUAUUUUAACAAAAACGAUACGUAGGUAGACUAUACCUAUUCAUAAAGAAUUCUAAGAACAGACAAGGUGGAAGCCUAUUAUACCAAAGAAAAGAUUCUCAAUGAAAAAGUCCUAAAUUAGUCAACUUAUCAGCACACGCAUUUCCUUCCCGAAAAAUAUGAGUAACCGUCGAUAAGAUCAUUAAUUUAAAUAUUUAUAUCUCUUUAAAAAAUUCAUAAUUAAUUAUAGUAAUCUCUAUUUAUCUUGAAAGGGAGGACUGAUGACUUCCAACACUUAUAAAUACCUCCUUCUGCAUUGCUAAUCAAUUAUGCAGAAAAUUAAAGAAAACACAGGACACAGUGUUCACUUCUCUGCAUGAAAACUCUUCAUGCUGGUUUUUCCUCCCUAUCGCUACCUUAAUCAUCUUUUUACCUAUUGUCAUCAAUCUUUUAUCCAAAUGUAAUCACAAUUUCAAUUCUGCAAGGAUAAAAAAAACCUCACUCAUCGCAAUCUCCAAUCCUUUGCUCAAACCUAUGGCCCUUUAAUGUUACUUCACUUGGGAAGGGUGCCAGUUCUUGUGGUUUUCACAACUGAGGCAGCUCGUGAGGUUAUGAAAACACACGACCUGGCUUUUUCAAACAGACCAUAGGUUUGAACCUUUUUGGCACUAAGAAGAUGCAAGACAGAAAUACUCCUUAUCUGCUUCCAGUAGUUGCCAUAUGGAGCAAAUGCCACAUCUUUGGAACUAUAAAAGAAGAUAUCCGACAUCUUACGAUGUGGUCUGUUGGAAAAAACAAGGUCGUGUGUUUUCAUAACCUCACGAGCUGCCUCGGCUGUGGAGACCACAAGAACUGGCACCUUUCCAAAGUGAAGUAAGAUUAAAGGGCCAUAGGUUUGAGCAAAGGAUUGGAGAUUGCGAUGAGUGAGGUUGCCAACUUGGUGGAGAUUUCCUAUUAUUGGAAGCUUUAGAGGAGAUGGUGGUGAGGUUUUUUUGCUCCUUGCAGAAUUGAAAUUGUGAUUACAUUUGGAUAAACGAUUGAUGACAGUAGGUGAAAAGAAGAUGAUUAAGGUAGCGAUAGGGAGGAAAAACCAGAUUGAAGAGUUUUCAUGCAGAGAAGUCAACAUUGUGUCGUGUGUUUUCUUUAAUUUGCUGCAUAAUUAAUUAGCAAUGCACAACAAAUGCUUCUCAUAAACCAGUUUGUAUCUUGAAAUGGUGAAUGCACAAAAGAAAUAAGUUUUUAGGUUUUGUAGAUGUACAUAAAAACAAAAUUAUUUGACUUAAUGAAUAACAAUAUCAUGAGAAAAACCGAAUGGAGAGCAAUAUCAUGAGAAAGACUGGAUGAAGAGCACUAUGAUGAAAAAAACAAAACAUUUAAAUUGUAUCAGUAAAUGCAAUAUAAAGAAACGCAAAAGAGUAGAAUCAUGUUGUAAAGAGAAGCUUACCAAGAGCUCUUGAAGAGUUUUUGGCACCACUAGGAUUGAGAAGUGUAGUGCGGGAUCCAUGAAGAAGUGCGCGUAUAAAGAAUGAAAAAAAGGCUCUAAACUUCAUUUGAAAUCAAGAAUCAAUUGAGAUUUUAAAUUUGAAAUUAAAAAACGAUUAUCUUGUUUAUGUACACGGUCUUUCUACUGUACCGUAAUUUAGGCUUGCGUGUGAGAGAGAAACGGAAACACCAAUUUCCUCCAUCCAAAGCAGCUUUAGGGUUUCGUGACAGAAAAAAAGAAAUCCUAAUCCAACUUGAGAGCAUCUUGUGACUUUUGCAAAUUGUCUUCCACACAGCAAGAAGAAGCUAUGUCAGUGUGCCACAUGUGUUGUUUCUUCUUUUAGUAAAAUUGCAUUUUGAUUUUUUCUUAAAAAAAUGUGGUUGUGACAUGUGGCAAAAGUUUUCGAUUGCUCCCAUGAAUUAUAUUAAGUAUAGAAUUUUAUAUUAUUAUUUAAGUAGAAAAAUAAAAUAUUUAGACACUACAAGAGAAAAAAACCAUUUUGUGUGGGCCAAAUACGGACGCAAAAGCUAAAAAACUGACGCUUAUGCAUCGGAUUCGCGUCCGUUCCACAUCCCACGAAAAAACCGACGCAUGUGAUGAAGAAAAAAAAAAACAUUUUAUUUUGCUUUCUAACCAGAUUACCUGUAAAAAUUAAAUACCAACCAAAUCACAUUCAAACAAAUUACUAUCAUUCACAAUACAUCUAUAAACACCCAAAUCCACAAACACAUCCAAAGCAUGAAAUCAAAAUCCACAAACACAUCCAAAGUAGAAAAGCAAUAGAAAUAGUUAAACAAAAGAUAUGAAUACUUGAAAAAAUAUUACAACUAAAAUUGUACAUUACAAAUUUAACUAGAAGUAGCAAAAUGAAUCUCAUAGUGAUGUGAUAAACCUGUAAAAAAAUAUAAACAAUAUAAAUAAAUAAAUCAAAUAAUUAAAAUAUUUAGUAUAUAAUAAAAAUAUCAAAUAGUUAAACUUACAUUAUAGGAUGCACUUUAAGGAACAGGUUGAUCAUCCUGUUCUGGAUCAUACUCAUGAUCGAAUUGUGUUGUGCUAUUGGAAGUAGUUUUGUCACGUUCCAUANNNNNNNNNNNNNNNNNNNNNNNNNNNNNNNNNNNNNNNNNNNNNNNNNNNNNNNNNNNNNNNNNNNNNNNNNNNNNNNNNNNNNNNNNNNNNNNNNNNNAAGUUUAGCAUGAAGCAUUUGAUUUUUAGUCACAUGUCCAGAUUGUGAAGUGUCGGGCGCAGAGGCUUGGGUGAGAGAAGAGACUCCUUGGCGGAUGUUAGCAGCCAAGUCUGUCGUACCAUACACCCGACCUCUACUCUUUCCUCCGACAACUUCCUUCCAUGUUUGAAGCUUAGUUGCAGGAUCAAGUUGGUGGACAUCAAUGUUAGAGUCCUAAGAACUAUUUGCUUGAAGGGCCUUCAAGUGCUCAUGAUACUUUUCCUACACAGAUCAUUACAAAAUGAAAAUGUUAGAAAAUUAAAAUAUAAAUAUAAAACAAUUUAAAAGAAUAACUUACAUAAGUUUCUCGAGCACGAGAAUCAACCCAUUCACCCUUCUUAUUUGUGUGGGUGGCCAUAAAUAGUUCAUCAGGUUCUGGAGGACGACCAUAUUGACGUUCCUAAUAAUGUUGUACAAUUAAAAGCAUUAUAGGUUGCAAAUGCAAAAUGAUUUUCAUGUAAGGCAGUGACAAGUACUUAUCAAGGUAACUACAAUAUCUGAAUGUGAUUUUCUACCUGUGGAGUGCAGUGCUCCACCACGAGCUGAACUCUUAUUGGCUUUAUUUUGAGUUGAUUUAUCUUUGAAUUUUUGUGAAUCCCAAUAGUUUAGAAGUUCAACCCAUGCUUGCUGACCUAUCCAAAUAGGGCGGACAACCUUUCUCCUAGCCUUAGUCAACAUGUCACAAAGUCUUUUUUUGACUUUAGACUCGUAGACCUUUUUAAUUUGGCAUUCNNNNNNNNNNNNNNNNNNNNNNNNNNNNNNNNNNNNNNNNNNNNNNNNNNNNNNNNNNNNNNNNNNNNNNNNNNNNNNNNNNNNNNNNNNNNNNNNNNNNGAUGAAAAUAGUUACUUUGAGUCCACAAGAAAACAAGUGACUGUAGUUUGUCAAAAAUUAAAAUUACCUGAAAGUCAGUCCACCAUUUUAGUUUGUCCUCCUCAGGCAUGGCAUCAUAAUGAUGAUAUGGACCUCUAAAUUGAGAUCGAAUGCAAUGUCCAAUGGCCUCACUAGCAAAAUGAUUUGGUGUCCAACUACAAAUACAAACAAAUAAAAUUACAAACAUAGUAAUAUAAAGAUAAAAUUAAAUGUACAUUUAGGAUGACUUACCCUCUACCAAGAAGUCGGAUGAUGACCCUACCAGUAGGGUCACGCUGGACCUCCUCAGGGGGGAGGUUAUGCUCUGAAGCAGCAGUGGCACCAUGGUCAACAUGGUCAGAGAGGCCUUGCACAGAGCCAGUAGUAGUCGGGACAGAUGAAGAAGAUGUGGUGUGGACAAUGGGAUAAGGAGUAGUCUGCACCAAUGUACCAGGGGUGGGCUGCACAAAUGUACCAGAGGUAGGGUGGAGUGGAAAACUCUGAGUCUGGUGGAGUGGUUCAGGGACACUCUGAUGGUAAGUCGGAGCAGAGGAUGAUGGUCCUGGUGGUACUGGAAUACUAAGAGGACGAGGUGAUAUAGUGGGGUGUGGAUAAGCAUGCCGAAAUUCUCCUGCCCAGAGGACGAGGGGAUGGAGGAAGACGGGCUAGAAGAUGGNNNNNNNNNNNNNNNNNNNNNNNNNNNNNNNNNNNNNNNNNNNNNNNNNNNNNNNNNNNNNNNNNNNNNNNNNNNNNNNNNNNNNNNNNNNNNNNNNNNNNNNNNNNNNNNNNNNNNNNNNNNNNNNNNNNNNNNNNNNNNAAUCCUACCAUCCCUCCCUCUAGUCCUAACCAUUUUUCCUGAAAAAUUAUCUGUUCAUAAUAUUAGUAUAAAUAUGUAAUGAUCACAUGUUUUGUUUAUAAUUGAUUACAAGUAAUAUACAUUAGUCUUCAUUGUUAUCAAAAUCUGAAUCGUCAGUGUGUAUGUGAUGUUCUGAAUAAUCUUCAUUUAAGAGGUCAACAUCUUCAUCAUCGUCAUCAUUACGUGCUUCAAUAUCAUUAUCGUCAUCAAGUAGUUCGACAUUAGAUGUGUCAGCUAAACAUUGUAAAUGUUCAAUUCUUGUAACUGGUAACACAUUAGACGUCUCCUCAGCUUGAUACGGCAAUUCAUCAUUGAUGUUGUCAACUUGCACAUAUCCUCGAGGUUUUGUUUUAAUUGGAACACACCACCCACGAAGGUUUUUACAUAUGUUUGGAUAAGUGAGAUAAUAAACUUGUUUGGCCUUUUGCGGAAGAAUGAAUGGAUCAUAGGGUCCAUAUCUGCCACUUAACUUGAUUUCAACUAAAUUAUAUUGUGAAUGAAAUCUAGUCCCAACACUAAUUGUAGGAUCAAACCAUUCACCCACGAGGCUCUUAUAAACGUGCGACAUCACAAUAAUCCGUGACCCACGAGGCUCUUAUAAAUGCGCGACAUCACAAUAAUCCAAACCAGCAAUAAUCAGACCAGAAACCAACAAUAAUCCAAACCAGCAAUAAUCCAAACCAGCAACCACAACUCAAUAUCCAAAUAAAAAAUUAGUAAAAUGUGAACUUGAGGAGGAGGCAGAGCUUGAUCGGAGGUAGAGAAGGAAACGGAAGGAGAGCUACACGCGCGGAGGAAGCUUGACGUGGAGGGGAAGCUCGCGCGGAGGAAGGUCGACGCGGAGGGGAAGGUCGACGCGGAGGAAGCUCGCGCGGAGGAAGCUCGACGUGGAGGGGAAGGUCGACGCGGAGGAAGGUCGACGCAGAGGAAGCUUGAUGCGGAGGGAGAACUUGACGCAGAGGAAGCUCGACGCGGUGGAAGCUCGCGCGAAGGAAGCUGGACGUGGAGGGGAAGCUUGAAGAGGAAGCUGAACGUGAAGGAAGCUCGCACGCGAAAAUUGGGAAUUAGGUUUUCAGAGAUUUGGGGGUUUUGAAAAACUGGGAACCCCAAAAAAUUUCUAUAUACCCAAAAUAAAUUAAAACAUUUUUUAUAUAAAAAUAUUUAAAUUUAAUAUAAAAAAAUUAAUUUCAUUAUAUAACAAAAACUUUUAUUAAUUUAUAAAAAACAAUUUAAUUUAAUUUAUACAAUACAAAAAUUAAUUAAAUUUACACAAAAAUAUUUAAUUUAAUUUAUACAAUAAAUAUUUACUUUAAUUUAUAUAAAAUAAUUUAAUUUAAUUUCUACAACAUAAAAUUAAUUUAAAUUGUAAAAAAAUAUUAUUUAAUUUAUAUUAAAUUUAUAAAAAAUAUUUAAUUUAAUUUAUACAAUAAAAAAUGACUUUAACAUCUACUACCACAAAUAUCAAUGAAUCCUAUUAUUGAAAUUGCUCAUGAGACCUUCAUCAUCCCUUCUAACUUAUAAUCCAAAAUCUAAUAAUCAACUAUAUUCCAUGAUUUUAAGUUACUUCUAUAACUAUCACGAAAUGACUCAUAUUUCUCAAAUUGCUUAUGAUACUCUCUUUCAACCUUUACAAUGCACUUCUUAGUUCAACUCUUACCUUGACAAUGGACUACGGUUAUUAACUUCUUCCUGCUAGGGAGAUGAGACCUAGAAAACUAUUGAAGUCUUCGUCUUCUUCCCUCGGUCGGGCAGAUUGUUGGGUGCUUGACUGGGAUCUUUCUCAUCUUCGUGCUUCUUUCCUCGGCUCUCGGUCUAUGGCGAACACCGAUGGGGGGUACCUGCGAAGGCACUCUGACGCUAAGUCAAUGAAGCGGGUGAUCAUUAUUUUGGUAGGUGAACAGUAAUAAAUGACGUACCUUUCUUCUUGGAAUGUGUGUUGUGUAUAUUAUUUUAAUGGGCUGACCUUAUUGGGUCUGAUUAGUGGAGUGGAUCUGGCUUAGGGUUGUAUUACUUUAUCCUUAAUGACAGAUUAGCUUCACUGACCUUAGUUUCAGCGUUAACGGUAGUAUGGGUCAGCCGACCGUGAUGAUUCCACUCGUCUCGGCCAACCUUCCAUGGCACAUAACUUAUAAUCCAAAAUGUAAUCAUGAACUCUAUUCCAUGAUUUUAAGUUCAUUCUAUAUCACACCCAGUCAAAACUUACUUAUUUAUGUUACGUUUAUUAAAAACUAAGUCUACUAAAUUUACUAUGUCAAAGACCUAUUAUUUAGUAUAUUGGGAAACUAUAUUAACACACUUAUAAGGAAUAUUGCAUAUGUAUCAUCUCGUUACUUACUACAUUAUUAUGUGCUUCAGUUGGAAAACAUUAAUUUCUUUUCGAAAUCAUACUAAGUAACUAUAACAAUGACAUUUAUAGAGCAUGUAGUCAACUUUGGAACACUUUGGAUAUUGUAUCAAUCUAACAAUGAAGAAUAAGUUACUUACUCACACACUUAAUCUUAAUAUGUUUGUAUCAUAUACAUUUUCGCUNNNNNNNNNNNNNNNNNNNNNNNNNNNNNNNNNNNNNNNNNNNNNNNNNNNNNNNNNNNNNNNNNNNNNNNNNNNNNNNNNNNNNNNNNNNNNNNNNNNNNNNNNNNNNNNNNNNNNNNNNNNNNNNNNNNNNNNNNNNNNNNNNNNNNNNNNNNNNNNNNNNNNNNNNNNNNNNNNNNNNNNNNNNNNNNNNNNNNNNNNNNNNNNNNNNNNNNNNNNNNNNNNNNNNNNNNNNNNNNNNNNNNNNNNNNNNNNNNNNUAAAAUUAAACACUUCAUCUAAUUUAAAUAAAUGUUAAUUUAACUAAUUUAUAUCAUAAUUUCAAAAAUAAAAUAGUUAUAACAAUAUAUAAAUAAAAUAAAUUUAAAAUAAAUAAUUUUUGAAAUAAUAAAAUAUUUUAUAUAACAUUUAAAUAAUUUAAAUAUAUAUUUUCUUUUACUCAAUUAAUUUAAUUUAAUAAAUUUAAUUUAACUAAUUUAUAUAAAAAAUUGAUAAAUUAAAUAAUUUAUUAUAAUAUUAAAGAAAUAAUUUUAAAAUAAAUAUAAUAAAGAAUUAAAUAUUAUAAUAUUUAUUAUACAUUAAAUAAAUUUAAAUUUUAAAAUCCUAAAAAUGCGUGGGCCAUUGCGGACGCAUAUGCGUGGGCUUUGUGGCCGACGCAUAUUUAUUAUAAUUCUCUUAAAAAAAUAAUUAAAUCCAUUUGUGCGUCACUUUUGCGUCCAAGCUCAUUCUUGAGUCGGCUUUUAGCCUUUUUGAUCGACGAGACUAGCGUCUGCAAGUUGCCCACGCAAAAAUUUGGAAGCUAAUUUUUCAUUUUGCGUCCAAUGUGAUUUUUGCGUGGGCUUUUACCCAUUUUGGCCGACGAGAGUAGAGUCCGCUACUGGCCCACGCAAGAUUUUGGAAGCUACUUCUUAGUUUUCUUGUGGUGAGAAUUUGUAUUUAUUUUAGAUUUUGAAAAACUUAGAAAUUGAAUUAAUUUAGAUUUUUAUUUAAGAAUGAUAUCAAAUAAUUUAUGAUAUGUAUUUAUUUAGGAAUUUUAUUGAUUUUAGAUUUUUAUUUAAGAAUGACAUUAAUUUUUUUAUUUAAAUUUAUUUAUAAUUUUAAAAUUUUUAUUAAUUUAUUAAUUUAAUAUUUUUAUUUAAGUAGUAAAUAAAAUAAUUUAAGAUUUUGUAUUUACUCAAGAUCUGAAAAACUUAGAAAUUUUAUUUAUUUGAGAUUUUUAUUUAAGUAUGACAUAAAAUAAAAAUUUAUGUUUAUUUAGGAUUUUGAAUAAUUUAAAAAAUUUAUUUAUUUUAGAUUUUUAUUUAAGUAUGACAUUAAAUAAUUUAAAAUUUAUAUUUAUUCUGAUUUUGAAUAAUUUAAGAAUUUUAUUUAUUUCACAUACUUUAUUUAAGUAGGAUAUUAAAUAAUUUUAAAAUUUUAUUUGUUUAAAAUUUUAAAUAAUUUAGGAUUUUUAUUUAUUUACAAUUUUGAAUGAUCUUUUCUGUUCUAUGUCACGCUUUAUUAGAAAAUACUGCAACAUUUGCUUUAAUUAGUUGUGAGUUUAGGUUGGGGAAUAAAAUGGUUUGCUAAACAAACUCAAGGUCUAUAUUAUAUUAGUAAUUUUAUUCUUAAUUUAUAUAUUUUUCCCUUAGACUCGUUAUACUGAUGGUUAUACUGGAAAAAUCAGCUUGAAAAGCUUAUGAACACAAUUAAAAUAGCUUAAAUAAGUCAAUCAAUUGACACAGUACGAAUAUCAAUGCAAAGAAUGCAUUUUCCUUCUGCUAGAGUAUAAAAUUAGAAAUAGGUAGAUAAAAUUGUGAUACUUGAAUUCUACAUUUUUUAAUUAUGAAAUUAAAAAAGUACUGCAAAAAAGUUACAAUCUCCAUUCACCUAACAUAAAUUGGAAACCCCUACCACUCGUGUUAGUACAUAGUAUUCAACCAUGUAGGCUCUACAUAUCACAUAAAAAGUUAACGAGCUCCUAGUAUGUGAAUAUUUUUGUCACAAAAAUAAAAGGGAAAGGAUCUUAUAUUUGAUAAUAUAUGAUACCAUUUCAAGAGUUUCAAGGAUAUUCUGAACAUCAACCUUGACAACUUUGAUAAGAAUCUGAUUCAAAAGUUUUAAAUAGUUCAAGAGAAAGUGAUGAAUUAAAAUAAUUUUCAUAAGUAAUCAAUAUAAGAACACUAAAAAAAAAUCAGUAUUAUCUACGGAUUUUUAUCCACGAAUCUGAGUCCGUAGGUAAAUUCAGCAUUACUUACGAAUAUUACCAACAGAUUCUGAAUCCGUAGGUAAAUUCAGCAUUACCUACCAACUAUUACCCACGAAUUCUGAAUUCGUAGGUAAAUUCAGCAUUACCUACCAACUAUUACCUACGGAUCUUAUUACCUACCAACUUUUACCUACGGAUCUCUAUUACCUACCAACUAUUAUACAUAUUAUUAAUAUUAAUAUAAUAAUUUAAAUAAUAUAAAUAGUAUUAUAUUAAUAAUAAUAAUAUUAAUGAUAUUAGUAAUAUAAUAAAAUUAAUAAUAUCAGUAAUAAUAACAUUAAUAAUAUAAAUAGUGUUAAUAAAAAUAUAUAUAAAAUUAACAUUUUUUAUAAUAUUAAUAAUAUUAACAUUAUUUAUAAUAUUAAUAAAUAUUUAAUAAUAUUAAUAAUAUUUAAUAAUAUUUAAUAAUAUUAAUAAUAUAUAAUAAUAUUAAUAAUAUUUAAUAAUAUUAAUAAUAUUUAAUAAUAUUAAUAAUAUUUAAUAAUAUUAAUAAUAUUAAUAAUAUUUAAUAAUAUUAAUAAUAUUAAUAAUAUUUAAUAAUAUUAAUAAUAUUUAAUAAUAUUUAAUAAUAUUAAUAAUAUUUAAUAAUAUUAAUAAUAUUAAUAAUAUUUAAUAAUAUUAAAUAAUAUUAAAUAAUANNNNNNNNNNNNNNNNNNNNNNNNNNNNNNNNNNNNNNNNNNNNNNNNNNNNNNNNNNNNNNNNNNNNNNNNNNNNNNNNNNNNNNNNNNNNNNNNNNNNAUAUUUAAUAAUAUUAAAUAAUAUUAAUAAUAUUUAAUAAUAUUAAAUAAUAUUAAUAAUAUUUAAUAAUAUUAAAUAAUAUAAAUAAUAUUUAAUAAUCUUAAUAAUAUUUAAUAAUAUUAAACAAUAUUAAUAAUAAUAAUGAUAUUAAAUAUAUGAAGAAUGUUAUUAAUUUUUAUUUUAUUAAUUAUAUUAAUAUUGAUAAUCAUACUUAUAAAUAUAAUAAUAAUCAUAACAUGACAACAAAACUUGACUGGUGUAAUGGUUAAAGCUUCUAUGAACAUAUCUCAAGGGACUUGGCUUCGAGUUCCACCUGCUGCAGUUGAGUUCUAACGUAGUGGAAACCGGUACCAACUAACAAUCAAUAAUUAAAAUAAUUUUCAAAUAAUGUGAUUUUAUAACGACGGUUCUAGAGCCGUCGUUAUAAACAACUUUAUAACAACACCACCAAUAACGAUGGUUCAUAAAUCGUCUUUAUAUGUCUUUUUUAACCGUUGUUAAUGAAUUUUUCUAUACUAGUGAUAGUUUGGUGCACUACAAGAAAAUCAUUGAAUAAGGAAAUCAGGAUGAGAGGGAGGGAGGAUGGAGGGUGACUACGCUCUGGUGGAUAGAGGGAGGAGCAGAGGAGAAAAUCUGAUUCACCCUUAAUCAUUCGUCACCAAACUCCUGUACUAUGUUUUUCUUUUCAAAUUUUCCAAGUACCCAUGGUGAAUAUGAUAUGCUGAAGAUUUUCCAAAGAUGGGCUAGGAUGAAAGAGGUGUUCAUUUCGAGAUGGCGGAAUAGGUGGGGAAGAAGGUUUGGCUUUGUGAGAUUUUUUAUGGUGCCAAAUGAGUACAAACUGGAGAAGGAGUUGGAUCAGGUAUACAUUGGCAAUAUGAAGCUCUAUGUUAACUUGCCAAAAUACAAGAGAUCUGGGUCUUCUCAACAAGGUGGGGUGUUACUUAAGGGAGACAAGGGUAAGAAUCACCAUAACCAUGUACAGAUGCAACUGAAGGGUAAGAAGGAAUGGAGAGAGAUAAAAGGAAAAAGCCUUCAUAGGGACUGUUAUGAGAAGUGUUCAUACGCUGAAGCUGUUAGGAAACCUUCUUAGGACUCCUGGACAGGCCCAAGUAUUGAGACCUCCUCAACAGUUCUUCCUUGGAUGUCAAACAGCGCAGUAGGUCGGAUGGCUCUAGAUAUGAACUUUGUGUCCUUAAGCGAGGAGUUUAUCAAAGGAGGUAUGUCUAUGAUUAAGGUGAGAUAUAUGCGUGAUAAUCUUGUUCUCUUCACCCCUAAGGAAGGAGAACAAAUGGAAGAGAUCAUUAAGCUGAACAACAAAUGGUUUACGAGUCUGUUCGAGGAUAUUGAGCCUUGGUCUGAAUCACUGGUAGUGGGUCACAGGUUAGCAUGGGCGAGGUGCUACGACAUUCCAAUCCCCUUGUGGAAUAGGGAUUGUCUGUCUAAGGUUGUAGGCGAGGCAGCAGAGCUGGUAUCCAUCGACGAAGCUACUGAGUAGUGGGAGAACCUUGAGUGUGCACGCAUCCAAAUACGGGUGUUGAAUUCGCGUAAAGUUGAAGUUUCAAAAGGGUUUCGUAUUAAUGGCCAAAUAUACAACAUUAGUAUUAAUGAGGAGGAACCCAUCCAAGGAGGAGGGUCAUGCAUGUGCCCUGAACAUCUUUAUGCCUCUUCGGAUAGCAUUUCUUCAAUGGACUCCUUCAUUGUGGAAACUAUCUUCUCGGAUAAAGCAUUUGAGGAUGGGGACGCCAACAUCGUGGUUUCUUCCCAGCGGGGAGAGGAGGCUAAGGAGGGAAGAGAUAUUUCACUAGAGACAAAGUCGAAACAAAUAAGGGAACAUUCUCAAGUUGAAAGGGGGAAGCAGAAUAAAGAAAAUCUUUCUUGUGCAAAUGAGGUAAGGCGUGAGCAGGGGAUCUCUGUUGCUGGGGCAGCUUUUUCUGAGCAAGAGAAGGUCAACACAAUCUGUUCCUUUUUACAUAAGUCUUUGUUUGACCUGGCUCUUUGUGUCCAAAACUUUAAUCCCUCUACAACACAACCCGAUUUAGAUGUGGGCCAGUUUUCGAAAGCCCAAAUUAAUAAUAGUGGGCUGCUGGGCCUUAUGGAACAGGGGGUUCUGGGAGGAAUGGAUGAGGUGUGCGCAAGGGAAAUCGGAGGUACCAACGUCACCGGUUGGUGGAUGUUCGGAAUCGGCAACGGAGGCUUCUAUUAACUUUUAUGGAAGGAUUAUUGCAGAGCCUAAAAGUGGAUUGGAUCAACCAGAUGGUUCUCCCCGAAGCGGUGAGGAUGAAAGAGGGCCUUCGCCCCAACCUUCGCCCAACCAUAUUGGGGUUUUUGAUGAACCAAGCAGCGUGGGUAGCUCUACACCGGAGAGGAGAGGUUUGACCUUUGAUAAAGCUACACCAAGUGGGGAAGAAGGAUCCAAAACACCAGAGAAUGUGCGUAGGUUACGUGACCUUUGGGAGCAGGGCACAAAACAGUCUUGCCUGCGGUGGAGGUCCAAGGGUGGCUUCGGACCUCUUCACUACGGGAUUAACUCCUCAUCUAGGUUAAGUCACUGCUCCUUUGCUGAAUCUGUUAGUGACAUAGAACAUUGUAACAACAGGUUAAGGCUUGAGGAGUAUGUCGUUGAAUCUGCUCGUAUUUGGGAUGCGAGAAAACAGCUAGGCGUGAGGUUUUCGGGGGAGGAGGUGGAUGUUGUAGUAGAAUUGGAGUGUAUGGAGGUAUGGGACAAGGAAGUCAAAAAGUGUGCUGAGGAGGGUACCAACCAUGUUGUUUUAUGAUCAUACUCAAUCUCAACAUCAGAGGCCUAGGGGGGGUGGGGGAACCAAAGCAAACUACCUGAAACACGUUAUUGCCAAGGAGGAUGCAGAAUUUGUGUGUUUGCAGGAGACAAAAUCCGUUUCUAUCUCCGAUAGUAGAUGUUUCUCGCUUUGGGGGGUUAGUAAUAUUGGUUGGGUGCAUCAUGAAGAUGAAGACGGCGCAAGGAGCCUUUUAUCAAUGUGGCAUAAAGACAAAUGUUGCUACAAAUCGCACGUUGUAGGAUUAGGCUUCAUAUCUGUUGUAGGUCAGCAUAUUAAAUCUAGACGCACGUGUUUAGUGGUUAAUGUGUAUGCAGCUUGUAAUUAUAGAGCUAAAGUAACUCUAUGGAAGCUCUAACGUCUCUUAAAAGGUCUCAUCAAAACGUGGUAGGGUGUUUUUGCGGUGACUUUAAUGCUGUAAAAAGGGAAGAUGAAAGGAAAGGCAUUGGAGGUGGUUCUAGCCAGAGGAAGGAAAUGAAGGGUUCAACAAUUUUAUUGAUACAAACUGUUUGGUAGACAUUCCGAGUAUGGGGAAAAAAUUUACUUGGUUCAAAGCAAAUGGUACUGCUAAAAGCAGGCUAGAUAGAUUUCUUGUGUUCGAAUAAUGGAUUCAAGUUUUGCCCUUCUACAAACAAUAUGUACAACAAAGAAUUGUGCCUGACCAUUGCGCGAUUGUGGCAAAGUCUUGGGCCAAAGAUUGGGGCCCUAAACCCUUUCGUAAUAGAUGCGUGGUUUAUGGAGCCAGGAUUCAAACUGUAUGUGAAGGAGAAAUGGGGUUCUUACAUUGGUCAGGGAAAUGGUAUUUCUAGUCUCAAAGAUAAGCUAAAAUAUUUGAAGGCAGACCUCAAAGACUGGAAUAAGAAUGUGUUCGGGUGUAUGCAGACAAACCAGAAGCAAAUCCUCAAGGAAAUUAAGGACCUUGAUAUUAAGGAUGAAAGUGAAGUUCUUGAGGAGAGUGGUCAACUAAGAAGAAUGGAAUUACUUAGCCAAUUGCGGGAGGUGGAUAACAAGCUGGAUUCCCUUUCAAGGCAAAAAGCAAGAGCAAACUGGUGCAAGUUUGGGGAUAUGAACUCUAAAUUCUCUCACACGGCUAUUAGAUGGAGAAGACUUAAAAACGAAGUCAAAGGUGUGGAGGUUGGGGGGCAAUGGUGUGAGGAACCGGAAGUAGUACGUAGGGAAGCUAAGUCUUUGUUUGAGAAAAGGUUCACGGCUACACAAGAUUUUGGAGUAAAUUUGGGCUCUGUGGAGUUUAAAUGUCUCCCCUCUGAAAUCAGUACAAGGAUGGUAACAAGUUUCAUAGAGAAAGAGGUGAAAGAAGUCGUAUGGCAAUGUGAAGGUUCAAAGAGCCCAAGUCCAGAUGGAUUCAAUUUUACUUUUAUCAGGAAUUGUUGGGACGUCCUUAAAACUGACGUUAUGGAGGCUUUGCAGGUUUUCCAUGAAACCGGGGUGAUACCAAAGGGGUGUAAUGCCUCUUUUAUUGCUUUGGUACCUAAAGUGAGUGAUCCCCUUUCUCUCGACCAAUUCAGGCCCAUCUCCCUUGUAGGAGUCUUCUAUAAGAUUGUUACUAAGGUAUUAGUAGGUCGAAUGAAGGAUGUUCUCUCUUUGGUCAUUGACGAAGACCAAUCCGCUUUUCUGAGGAAUAGAGGCAUGUUGGAUAGUGUGCUUAUAGCAAACGAGGUGGUGGAGGUUAGGAGGAAUCGGAGGAGUGCACUUUGUUUUAAGGUGGACUACGAGAAGGCAUAUGACUCAGUAAGGUCAAACUUCUUACUUGAUAUGUUACAAAGGUUAGGCUUUCAUAGCAAAUGGGUAAGGUGGGUUACAGGCUGCUUGGAAUCGUCCUCCAUUUCUAUGUUGAUUAAUGGAAGCCCAACAGAGGAAUUCAAACCAUGAAGAGGGCUGAGACAGGGUGACCCUAUGGCUCCAUUUCUAUUCCUGGUGGUUGUUGAGGGUUUGGCUGGAUUAGUGAGACAAGCGACUAAGCAAAGCAUGCUUACAGGUGUGAAGGUGGAAAGAAAGGAAAUAGUAUGCAGUAUGCUCCAAUUCGCAGACGACACCCUGUUCACGAUUGCGGACUCUUUCUCAAAUGUUUUCACUAUAAAGACGAUUCUAAGAUGCUUUGAACUAGUCUCCGGAUUGAAGAUUAAUUUUCACAAAUCGAAAUUGGCAGGGAUAAAUGUGGAUAGGUUCACUUUAGAAACCUAUGCCAAGACUUUAAAUUGCAACACUAUGCGGAUGCCUUUCAAGUACUUGGGGUUGGAAGUAGGAGGUAAUCCAAGGAAGGUACUGUUCUAGGAGCCUGUCGUCAACAAGAUCAGUGCUAGACUUAGUACUUGGAAAGGGAGAUGCUUAUCUAUGGCGGGUAGAAUCUGCUUAAUCAAAUCAGUCUUUACAUCCAUUCCUCUCUUCUACUUAUCCUUCUUUAAAGCCCCGGUAUCGGUCUAUAACAGAAUUACGAGCAUACAAAGGAGAUUCCUGUGGGGUUGGGGCAGAGAUAACAGAUCCAUACCUUGGGUAAGCUGGGGAAAAAUCUGUAAACCUCUUGAGGAAGGUGGUUAGAAAUUAAAGACAUCAGGAAGUUCAACUAUGCCCUUAUGGCGAAAUGGAAAUGGAGGUUAAUGAGCGAAGCGAAGGGGAAAUGGAAAGAUAUCUUGGAGUCUAAAUAUACGGUGUUAUCUGGUGUUAACCAUGUUCGGUCUUGUUGCCAAUCCUGGUGGUGGAGAGACUUAGAAAACAUAUGUAGGGAGGGUUAUGGUGUAGGUUGGUUCCAACAAGCUGUUGCAUGGAAUGUCAGAUCUGGGGACUCUGUACACUUCUGGGAGGAUCCUUGGAUUAAUAACAAUAAUCUUAAGGAGUUAUACCCUAGAUUGUUCUCUUUAUCCCUGAAUCAAGGGAUGAUGGUGGGUGAGGCUGGAUUUUGGGAUGACUACGGAUGGCAUUGGCACCUAGAAUGGAGGAGGGAGAGAUUCAACUGGGAGUCAGUUUUGGAAGUAUAAUUAUUAACAACCUUAUCUAGGGAAGUUUUGAACAAGGACUCCAAGGAUAUUUCAUUACUUGGAGAGGGGACCCUAAGGGGUUUUUUUUCUGUGAAAUUAGCAUAUGGCCUCUUAACCAACCAAGGGUCCGGCCCAGGUAAUGCUGCUUUUAGCAUGCUGUGGAAGGUCAAAGCCCUACCAAAAGUCCUAUGCACAGCUUGGAAAAUCCUUUUGGACAAAAUCCCGACAAGCCAGAAUCUCGUGACACGAGGAGUCGUGGUGAACUCCCCUCUUUGUGUCUUUUGUAACCAGUCAGUGGAAUCCACCCAGAAUUUAUUCUUGGAUUGUGGUUAUGCUUAUCGUGUUUUGAUGUUUUGCUAUAGAUGGAUAGGUGUUCUGGGUGCACAGAACAAGGACAUUUGUAAUCAUUUUCUGAAUUUCCACUUACCUAACUUGUCCGAGAAACAGAAUUUGGUAUGGAAGGGAGUAUGGGCGGCGAUUACACGAUGCAUAUGAGAGCAUAGAAAUAAUGUGAUUUUCAAACAAGGCAUUCCUGAGGAAAUUCUUCAAGCAGCUCAACUUCUGUCAUGGUCCUGGCUCAAACAUAGGGAAGGUUCUUUUUCUUACUCUUUCACGGACUGGCUUUUAAAUCCUAUCCAGUGUCUUUUAUGUGUGCGCUGAGAAUAUUCUAGUGCUUCUGGGAAAGCUUGACGUCCAGUAUGCAGGGUAAUAGGUCAAUUAUUGUCUUCUUGGAUAUGCUGGAAUUUUGUCACGAAGGCUGGGCAGUAUAUAGCUGUAUCUGUUUAGAAGUGAAAUGCGCUGGUUUGUGGCUGGUUUGAAAGAUGCUGGUUUGUGGCUAUCUUGAUGCAGGUUCCUUCACGUUACUUGAAGCUAAGAAGUUAUGAAGUCCAGUAGGUUCCCAAUAGGUAUGCGUGGAAGUUAUGGUGCACCUGUGUUUCACUCUGAAGAAAUGGAUGUUCCAAAGUUUAGUCAGGCUUAACAGAUCUGUUUGCAUAGCCUUGUCAUGAUGGUAAUUGGAGGAGAGUUGGCAGGUUCUGAAUAUGCUUGUUUUGUCUUCUGUUGAUUCUAGCUUCAAUAUGGGGAUGCUGUCCUGGUACAGUAGGGGGUGAUAGGCAUUUAGUACAACCUCUGGUCUAUGCAGGUGUGAGAUUAGUAAUGGCAACCAUGUGGAAAGGUAUGGUUUGGAAAUAGGGUUUGAGCAUUUAUAUGGUAACUCAAAUGUGGCAGUAGCUAUGUGUGCGUUCCAUACAGAUAUUGGGGCAUAGGAGAAAAUUGGAGUGAAAAACUGGAAGGGCCUAACUCUAGUAGAUCUGGUUUGGUGUUGCUUGGAAAACCCACAUUUAUCUUUUCAUGUUUUUAGCUACUAGUAGUUUUGUAUAAGGGUUGGGACACCCCUGAAGUGUCCCUUUUAAAUUUAAUUAAUUCAUUGCCGAUAAAAAAAAACAAAAAAAUCAUUGAAUAGAAACCAAUUUUAGAAAAAAAUAAUAAUUAGUUGUUAUAGUGACUAAAUUAGAGACCAUUUUAGAGUCUAAAUUAUUUUUUGAUUUCUAAAUUAGUCUGUAUUAUUUAUUAAAUAAUUUCUAAAUUGGUAUCUAAUUAGCUAUCAAGGUUUUAACUACCAAUUAUUUAGAUUCUAAAUUUGGUAGCAAAAACCUUGGUAAUUAAUUAGAUAUCAACUUAAAAAUUAUUUAACAAUAAUAGAAACUAAUUUAAAAACCAAUUUCUUUUUAAUCUCUAAAAUUGUCUCUAAUUUAAUCACUAUAACAAUCAAUUAUUUUUUGUCUUAUAAAAUAUACUAUAACAAUAUAUUCCAUAUGAAAGCUGAGAAUAUAAUCCCUUAUUUUUAUUCUAAGUUAUUAUGUUUAUCUUUUAACAGUAACUUCUUAGACAUCAUAGGAUGCAAUUGCUAUGAGAGGAAAUUCUCUAUGAUUGCUCAACCCAUUACUUUCGUUGAUGUUCAACGUCUGUUGCCCCACCUCUCCACCUGGAACUUCCCAAUUAAAUUGGUGAACAAGGUUUGCCACGACCAACUCAAUCACAUUCGUCACAAACAUUAUUCCUGGACAACCCCUCCUUCCUGCUCCAAAUGGUAACACUUCAAAAUCAAGUCCUUUCACAUCUAUUGAACUAUUUAAGAAUCUCUCUGGCUCAAACUCUUCAGCUUUGUCCCAACAAGAAGGAUCUCUUGCAAUUGCCCAAGCAUUAACUACUACUUGUGUGCCACUUGCAAUGUCAUAGCCCAUCACUUUGGCAUCUUCUCUGGAUUCCCUUGGAAUCAACAAGGGAGCUGGGGGAUGUAAUCGAAAAGUUUCUUUAAUCACUGCCUUCAUAUAAUGCAUACUAGUUAAAUCUUCCUCAGUUAUGCGACUUCUGCCACCAACCACAUUCCUUAUCCCAUCGCAAUUGGGUACCUUAGGAGUUCUGUCAUUAUCCAUCCUAAGAUUGUGGCGCUACUCUCAGUGCCUGCGGCAAACAUAUCCUGGAACAAAUACCCAUUGUCAGUUUCAUUGUCUACCUUGAAUUUCCAUGAAUGGAAAUAAACUCAACAUUUAUUAAGAUUUUGUGCAACUAAUAUGCGACUUAACUUUUUAUAGAAAAGUAGUGUGUAUGUGUGGAACAUUGAAAAGAAAUAACUUUUGUACAACAAUUGUACAAGAAAAAUAUUUGAAAACUUGUUGUUUAACUAUUUGCAACAUAGACCCUAUGACAAGUGAAUUUCAUGUAAAAUAAUUUAAAAGCUUAAUUAAUUUUCAAGUUCUUGAGAAGUUUGAGUAUUUUUAAUUGAUUCGAUUGAGUACUCAAAAACUCUAUAUUUUUCAAUUGAUUUUCCAUUGUUUAAAUUUUUUGUUAGGUAAGUGAUGUAUUAAUGUUAACAUUAAGUUAGAGUUGCACAUGAAGAUAGUGAAGGACAUCUAAUAAUGAGACAUAUUUUCCGGAUAUCCAAUAUAAGGUGACUUUUUAUUGUUUUGGUUCAAAAUGACAGAAACAACUUGUUUGAAUGAUAUUGAAAAGAAAGUGAAACGAAAAUGAAGAGAAAAGAAAAUCAAAAGCCUAAAUACAAUGUUGAGAAACUAUAGAAUAAAUGGUUGAAGUUGUGGGUGAAGGUCAUGAAUAAUAAAAUACUUACAAUUAACUUUCUUAUAGUUGACUCUAACCUUUAUUUGGUCGCUAUUGUUUCAUUGUUCAACCUCACACUUGUUCUAAGUCUCUCAAUAUCAUAUUUUGAUUUUGCUAUUUUUUUUUUUGUCUUUGUUUUUCAUCAACCCAUAUUAUGUUAAUCAUCAAAUUAUGUCGUUUAAUAUUAACAAAAAAUAAUAUGUCAAAGAUCCAAGUCUAUUAAGAACCGGAAACUUCAUAUCUUUUAAUAAGCACUUUGUGACUUUUGCAAUCCUCCUUACAAGCACUUUGUGACUUUUGCAAGUUGUCUUCCACUCAGCAAUGAAGAAGUUGUGUGAGUGUGCCACUUGUGUUGUUUCUUCCUUUAGUAAAAUUGCAUUUUUGAUUUUUUCUUAAAGAAAACUGGUUGUGACAUGUGGCAAAAGUUUUCAAUUUCUCCCUUCAAUUAUAUUAAGUAUAAAAUUUUAUAUUAUUAUUUAAGUAUAAAAUAAAAUAUUUAAAAUUUGUAUUUAUUUUAGAUUUUGAAAAACUUAGAAUUUUAAUUAAUUUAGAUUUUUAUUUAAGAAUGACAUCAAAUAAUUUAGGAUAUGUAUUUAUUUAGAAUUUUGAAAAAUUUAGGAAUUUUAUUGAUUUUAGAUUUUUAUUUAAGACAUUAAAUUUUUAUUUAUAUUUAUUCAUUUAUAAUUUUGAAAAUUUUAUUAAUUUAUUAAUUUAUUAAUUUUUAUAUUUUUAUUUAAGUAGUAAAUAAAAUAAUUUAAGAUUUUGUAUUUAUUUCGGAUUCUGAAAAACUUAAAAAUUUUAUUUAUUUGAGAUUUUUAUUUAAGUAUGACAUAAAAUAAGUUAGGAUUUGUGUUCAUUUAGGCUUUGUUUGGAUUAGGGAGUGAAAAGGAGGGAGUGAAUUUGUGAUGAUUUGAAGGGAGAUUGUAAAGAAAGUUAGGGUGUUUGGAUUAAGGUAAAUAGAGUGGAAAAUAUGGGGAAAGUUUAUAAAAGUUUGUGAAUGAUGUGAUGGAUGUGAUUGAAAUUAUAUAUUUUUAAAUUGAUAAAAAUGUAAGUUUACAAAUUUAUCCUUAUAUUUAAAACUGGUUAAAAAUUAAUUUGAUAUAUUUAUUUAUAAAUUAUAAUUAUUUUAAUUAAAAUAUUAUUUAAAUAUUUAUAAUUAUAAAUAUUUGAUAAAAAUUUAUUUUUAUAUUAAAUAAAAUUAUUAUUUUUAUCUUUACUUUUUUUAAUUAAUAUAAUUAUUAUUUAAAUUUAUUUUUUUAAUUAUUAAAAUAUAUAUUUAUUUUUAUAUUUAUAAUUUAUUAUAUAUAAUAUGAUUAAUUAUGUUUUUUAUAAUAAUUAUUUUUUUAUAAUCUUUAUAUUUUUAUAUUUAAAUGAUAAUUAUAUUUUAAAUAAAAAUAAUAAUACUUUAAAUUUAAAAUAAAAAGGAUAAAAAAGUAAAUUAAAAUUAAUUAAUUAAAAUAUAUAUAUUUGCAAAUAUUUUAAAAGUAAUAUGAAUUUGGACAAUUAUGAAUUGGAUUUGAGAAUUUAGAUUUUUUGUCCACCCUUAUGUUAUAUUUUAAUAUUUUAAGAUGAUGUUUGGUUAGAGGUCACCAUUUUUAAAAGAAAAUUGAAUGAAGUUAGGUCAAAGUCUCAACAACAAAAAAGUAUAACAACUAUUAUGAAUUCUAGAACUAUAAACAUCCUUUUCAUCUACUUAAGAUUCCAAUUGGAGCAAACCAAGAAAUAAGGGUGUUUGGGUACUAAUGAUGAACAAAUAAAGAAUAAAUUAUUUUUAUGAAAGUUCAAAUGAAGAAGGUGAUUGAGAAUCAAAGAUUUAAAACACUUUAAUUUGACCAUACAAAUGGAGGUGAAGAAUGCUAGUAAAAAAAGGAUAAUUUAUAGUUGAAUAUGGUUAGAUAGGAUGGAAGGAAUGAGAUGACAUAUUUAAACUAAGAGGACAAAGGAACGAAUGGAAAAAUUUUGGUGAAAGGUAACAAAUCAAUUCAAAUUUUGGAAAAAGGAAAGGGUGGUUGACUUCACAAUAGGGUGUUUAAUGGUUCAUAACAAAAGGAAAUCACAACGAGGGAGAUGUUAAAAUUGUUAAAGGAACGAGAGUUGGAAUUCAAGGAGAAACUAGUUUGAUUUUACAAUAGGUACAUGAAGUGCCCCAUAUUAUUUUUCCAUAAAGAUAUAAAGAAGGAAUAAAACAUAAUUGGAUAUGAAAAGAAGACAUAUUUGUGUUUAACAUGAAAACUUUUAUAAAAAAAAAAUACAUGUUUGCAACUUAUGUGGUCAAAUUUGUAUACAUAAUGUUACAUAUGUACUUGGAUUAACAAGAUAGAAUACUAAUAUAAGUCCUUUUAGAGACUAUUACAAAGGAUAAAUGUCUCAUCAAACAUUGUCAUCUUAACUUGGGAGAUUGAUAAGAAACAAAUUAACAUAUUAAAUACAUAUAUCGGUAUAAGAAUACAUAUAUCCUUUCUGCAAUAAAAAAAAAAUAAGAAAUUGGCAGUGUUUUUACAAAGUAAUCUUAUGGGACCUGAGUAAAUGAGUUUUAUUAUGAUAUGAAGAGUGUUAUUAGGAUGAGAAAUUUUGUGAAUGAGAAAACCCACGACCACCACAAGGGCCAUGGAACUUGGGGUUGACUUUGUCAUUGGUGGGAUUCGAAGGUGACCAAGAUGUGAGAGUGACAAUUGUAGGAAAGCUGAGAGGAUCGAGUUGAUGAUGACAUUCAAGACGUUCUUCUUGCACUAGAAGUAGAGCUUCGAUUCAGCCUGGUGGCUCAUGGUAUGCUAUUUGACUGGUUAAAGGCAGAUGUAGGAGCUAGAAUGGUUAAAGGCUGGUUUGGCUGGUUUCAUGCUUCUAAGAGCAAGAAAGGAAGCUUAAGUCUUGAGUCCUAUAAGAGCUCACGUAGCUGGCACUGCCAAGGGUCUAACUCAUGGGUUCAGAGGCAUCAUGUGUCUACAGGCAUGAAGGGUAUCCAAACUAGACUGUGAUCCUGUUUUGAUAAUAUAUGCAGUAGAAUUUUAAGGCCUGGAUGGUGCUAGAAUGGUGAUGUAGAAUGCUGGUUUCGCAUUAUAGUGCAGUAGAUUUCUGCUAUUGUUCUUAUCUGGUUUUGGUUGCUGUCAUAGCCAUCUUAGCUUGAUGCUAGUGGUCCGUUUGGAUGUUGCUCUAAAUGGCUCCAGUAACAGGUUUCGCUUCUCCUGCAGGUCGUAAAGCAGAUUGGAUGUAGAUGUUUCCCAGGAGCUGGUAUAGACUUGUUAACUAGCUUUGGGUUUUUUCCUAAGCUAUAAGGAGGAGAAAUCUCUUUUGUAUAAAGGUUGGGAUACUCCUGAAGUAUCCCCUUUAAAUUUAAUUUAUUCAUUGCUGAUAAAAAAAAAGUAGAGCUUCGAUCUCUUCAACUUUAUAAUGAAUCGGUUCUAGACAGAAUGGAGGCAACAAAAGGAUCAAAAUCAGGAGGGAACCAUCAAGGAUGGUUUCGAAGUGAUAUUCAACAAAUAUAGGUGCAACAACCGCAGCCAACGCAUCCACCGUGCGUUUGAUUUCAAUUUCUUUAUCUAGGCCCGAGUAUGAGAAGAAAAAUAUGUGUGUAACGUCUGCCAGAUCGGCGAUGCAGAGGUAAGACCCACCAUUUGGGUUAAAAUUGGAGUGGUCAUGGACACUAGAAGUCAUGCAACCACCAAAUUAUCUUGUUGUUUGUAAGAGAUGAAGGAAGGAUUGGAACUGACAAUGUCAUCAGCAGCAAAGAGGCAGCGCGAAGGAACGUUAGUUCCGUCAAGAAACGAAGAAAGCAGCAACCCAUCAAUAAUGGCAUGAACCUGUUGUUUCCACAACAACAAAAUUUCGUCAUCCAGUUUGAGCGGAAUAAGAGUAGUAAAGUGAUGCAGAGAGACAGAGGAGCUCUUGGUAGAGAGAGUCUGGGUGGACGAAGAUGAUGGUGGAGAGGAAGGAGCGGGAGCCAUGAAAGAAAAACGAAGAAGAAAAAAAAGAAGAAAACUUUCUAGCUCAUGAUACCAUGUUAUUAGGAUGAGAGAGAGAAAGGAGAAAAGUUCUGAUAUAAAUCUGAUAUAUGUAAUUGUGUUAAUAGAGUAGUUAUUUAUACACAGGAUAACAUAUGGGUACCCUUAAUAAAGAGAUCUCAAUUUUUUUAUUCUUCUCAGUCUUUCAAACUUUUUUAAUUUCUUGGUUAUGCAUCCAUCACAGUCUCUUGAUGGGUAUCAAGUGAGAGAGAUUCACCUGCAAAGAUACUCCAACCAUCAAGUUAGUAACAAAAUUACAAAGUAAAAAAUAUUAGGAUUCUGGUGAUACUUGUGUCCAAGUUAGCUAUUUAUACUGUUAUGAACUAUCAUUAAGGCUUACUUUUGACAUUCUUUUGUUAACCUUUGAAGUUAGUAACAUGAGAUGUUGUAUUCUAACAACAUGCCGAGAGAUCAAUCGGUUUAUCAUUUUAUUUGACAUAGAUUUCAAUACAUGGAGAGGCCGACUUGUUCAUGCAGUAAUAUAUUUUUUUAUGUAAUUUCUCUUACUCUAUUUGGGUUUAUGCUAUGCUAUGAUUGAUCUAGCAUGUGCUUGCAUAAGGAUAACAUUUCACAUUUUCUAUAACAUUCUUGGUGGUCAACAAUCUAGCUCCACAUGAAUAACAUAAAUUUUUAGAGAACGAAGAGCCAAAUAUCAUUCAGGUUAUUGAUCUUACUAUGAGGUAGUAGACAGAUGCAAUUGUAUAGGACAUUCACUAAAAAUAGUAAUGAAUCCUUGUAUGCUUCGGAACACUUUAUAUAACUUCUUACAAGCGAUUCAUCCCACAAUUUUGAAGGCACCCAAAACUCACAUAACUGAAUGAAACACAUCAAUGAUUUUAUUUUUUCUGAUAACGCAGAAUUACUAAUUACACAACUUACUUUCUUUUUAUGCCUGCAAUCUUAUUUGGAAUACUUCACUUCUUAAUAUACUAUAUACGAGGAGAUGCAAGUGCCACAAGAGGUAGUUUUCUAUGAACAGUUAAUCCAGUAGUUUCAGACAUGCAAAAUGUCUGGUCCCCCACAUCUCCAUCAGGCACAGUCCAAUCAAAUUGGUGCACAAUGUUUGCAAGAACCAACUCAUUCACAACCAUGGCAAAAGCUAUUCCUGGACAACCCCUUCUUCCUGCUCCAAAUGGAAUCAAUUGGAAAUCAUGUCCUUUGAUAUCUAUUGAACUAUUCAAGAAUCUUUCUGGUUGAAACUCUAGAGGUUGAUCCCAAUACAAAGGGUCAGUUGAAAUUGCCCAAGCAUUGACUAGUACUUGUGUGCCAAUUGCAAUGUCAUAGCCCAUCACUUUGGUGUCUUGCAUGGAUUCCCUUGGAAUCAAAAUGGGAGAUGGAGGAUGCAGUCUAAGAAUUUCUUUAAUCACUGCUUUUAAGUAAGGCAUGUCACUCAAAUCCUCCUCAGUUACGUGAUUCUUAGCCCUAGCCACGCUUCUCACCUCAUCUUGUAAUUUUUGCAUCACAUUUGGGUGUCUCAAGAGCUCUGUCAUAGCCCAUUCCAGGACUGCAAGGGUGGUAUCAGUUCCUGCACCAAACAUAUCCUGAAACCAAAGAAUCAAACAUCAAUACAUAUAUGCUUAAUAAUUAAUGACUUCAUUGGUAACUAUAAAUCGUUCAGAUUUCUAGGAUAGUUAUUAUUCAAAUUAUCAAACUUGUUACAUGUUAGUUUAUAUUUUGAUGAUAAUGUAAGAAAAACUUAUAUAUAUGCCAUUAGAAACCAUCUUGUGUCCUGUCAGAAUCACACAGUACAAGGUAAAACCAGACAUAGUAUGAAUACAUAUGUUAUUAUCAGAAGUUUAUGUUAUGUGAGAUAAAAAAGAGCAUAAAGAAAGAAAUAAAGGAUUGCAUUGCCUUAUUAUAUUCAGUAUGAAAAUCAACUUUCAACCCAAGAUGGCAUCUUAAGAAUUUAACAGAGAAGAAUAAGACAAUUAAUUGUGUUUAGCUUCUGACUCUUUCUUUAUGUUGUAUUUUUCUUUGUAAGAAAUCACUUUUCUAUUCAUUGAUGUGGUGGUACAAGAGCCACAUGAGUUUUCAAGUCCUUUUUGACAUGUUAAUUUAAAAAUGUUAAAAAAUGAACAAGAUCUGACAUCAUUGUUCAGUCAGUUUCUCUCUCCUACUCAUUGGGUCCAACCCUUGUCCUCAUUCAUCAAUGCAAUCUUUUAUUAGUUAAUCUUUUAUUCCGUUUUUUUUUUAUCAGCAGUCUUUUACUGCGUACAAAUCUAAGCUUUUCAUAACAAAUAGCAGAGUCCAGAUCUUUAGUUUUGUGGACGAAACUACACCAGCAGCAUGUAGUAGGUAUGCAAUUUAAAAGAAGGCAAAACAAAUUAAUUUUUAGGUAUUAUAUUUUUUAUUUAAUUGUUAAUUUUAAAUUCAAAAUACCAUUAAUUUCUCUUUUAUUAUUUAUUGGUUGAUUAUUCACCUAAUAUUUAAUUAUAUAUAUAUAUAUAUAUUUAUUGUAAUGUUGAAUUAAAAAAUAUAAUAGAAAAAAUUUAAAUAACUUAUAAAUCUCUUAUAUAUAUGAUCAAUUUGUAUUUUAAGUAUCUAACUAAUUUUUACUUCAAAUUAGAUAUCUGUAAAUUAAAAACAAAAUUAUUUAAGGCUUUUAUGCCUAUUUAUUUCUAUUAUAUAUGUAUGUUUUUCUUACUAAGAUAAUCACCAUAUAACAAAAAAUCAUAUAAACUUUAUUAUGAUAAAAAAAAAAUAAGUUAAAACACCAAAAUAAAAAGAUAAAAAUAUUACAGAGAUCGUUUAAAUGAGUUAAUAUAAUGUUAUCAAUUAAAUAUAAAUAAAUAUUUUUUUCAAGGACUUCAAUUCAAAAAAAUUAAAUUAUUAAGUAUUUAUUUUAAGAUAAACUAUUAUAUAUUAUAAAAAAAAUUCUUAUUAAAGAUCUCAAAUUUCUUUAAACCAAAUAAUUUUUAUUAAAAAUAAUAAAAAAUUAUAUUUUUUAUUUAAAGAAACUUUACACCACCCUUGAAAAGAUGAAGUGGGGAUAAUAUUUAAAAUAAAGACAGUUCGACCAUCUAUCUUGCAUUUUAUUAAUAUUCAAUUAUUUAUGAUUUUGUUAAUCUUUUUUAUUUAAUCAAAUUAUUUAGAUGGUGAUAUUUUGACAUUUACUAAAUAAAAAAUAUUCAUUUAUUAUAUUAUUAAAGUAGGUUCACAUUUCUUAAAAAACUUACAUCUAAUUUAUAAUCCAUUUUAAUAAUAUAAUAAUAUAUAUUAAAAUUUUAAAUUAAAAAAUAAAAUAAAUAUAAUUAAAAUAUUAUUAUUUUGAAUCGUCAAAAACAAGUGUGUUUUAUGUGGUCACCACUCUAUUAUUUAUCAUAUCCAUACUUUUUUUUCUUUUGUUUCUCACUUUCUGGUGAUGUAGGACAUAUAGGUUGAGAAAAAUUUUAUAAGCUUAAGAUCAUAAUUAAUUCAUUUAAAAUGCACUGUUAAUAUAUUAACAAUCAUACAUUAUAUUACAACUACACUAUAUUACAAUUAAAAAAAAUAUUAAAUAUAAAUUUCAUAAAAAAAAUAAAAAGUUUGAAAAUUAUAUUAUUUCAUAUCACAAUUAUAAAUUGACGCAUUCUAUCAACAUCCAUUAAAAAGAUUCGAUCAUGACUUCGUAUUAUGAUAAAACAUGUAUAAAAAUCACAAGAACUGACAACAUUUUUCAUUCAAAUUAUAAACAUGCCAUUUAUCUACUAAAAUGUGUAAUAAAUAAUACUGAUAUGCUAGCAAAACACUCAAUAAGAACUAAUACACAAGCAGUGAUAGAUAUAUCUUACCAUGAUCAAAGCCUUCAUGAUAGUCCUAUCAACCUGAAAAUCUGUAGUGGAGCUAGUUUUCUGAAUCUCCAGCAAGAUCUCCACAAAAUCAUUCUGCUUAUCAGCAUUAACACCAUCACCAUGGCUUCUCACACCAACAUGUUCAUCAACAACCUCUUCCAAAAAAUCAUUGAGCUGUUUAGCCACUCCCUUUGCCCUACCAUACAUUCCAUUAAUUCUUCCCACCCAAUCAAGCCAAGGUAUAUAGUCCCCUAUAACCGAUGCCCCCAGAAACUCUUCCAACUGGCUCAUUGGCCCCCUAAGCACACUCCCUUCAUAUCUCCUUCCAAUAACACUCCUACACACUAUAUCAUUCGUCACAUCAGAGAGCAAAUCAGUUAAGUUCACUGGCUUCAAACAUGCACAACUCUGCAUAAUUUUCUCUAUCAUUACCACAACUUCCUCUUCCCUCACUUUACGAAAGCCCUGAACCCUUUUCGUACUCAGAAGAUGCAAGACACAGAUACUCUUCACCUGCCUCCAGUAGUGGCCAUAUGGAGCAGAGGCUACGUCUCUGGAACCAUACCAGAAGAUAUCAAACAUCUUACGAUGUGGUCUGUUACAGAACACGUGGUCUUGGUUUUUCAGAAUCUCGCGUGCUGCUUCAGUGUUUGAGACCACAAGAACUGGCACCUUCCCAAAGUAAAGCAUCACUAGAGGGCCAUAGGUUUGAGCAAAGGAUUGGAGAGUGUGGUGAGUGAGGUUGCCAAGUUGGUGUAGGUUUCCUAUUAUUGGAAGCUUUGGAGGAGAUGGAGGUAGCUUUUUUGCUGAUUUGGAAUUCAGUUUGGAUAGAAGAUUGAAUAUGGUGGGAAAGGCUAGCAAGAUGAAGAAUGCUAGCAUGGGAAUGAAGAACCACAAGGAAAUGGUUCCAUUCAGAAAAUUCGUCAUUGGCUUCUACUUCAAGAUUAUGUUCAGUCGUGGAUUUUGUAAUAAUGUGCUGUAAUGUGUUGGCUUGUUUCACAAGGGAUACAUAUAUUGCUAAAAAAAGUCAUGAUGGGAAGUUGAAUAAAGAUGCGGAGCACUUGGGACCAUAAGAUUGACUUUAUGCUUCUCCCAAUCUAUCAAUGAGAUAUGUAACUCACUCCGAGUAUGUAACCAAUCAUGAAAGAUAUAUAAGCAUGUCACUUUAGUUUAGUAAAGAUAAAAGAAAUUUUAUACUCGAUUUUAUAAAGGUGGAGUUAAAUUUAAAUUCAGUCUAGCGAAAGUUAGUUGAAUUUAUCACUAUCGAACUAUCCAUAAAUAUAUAAUUUCACACACGAGUUGAUAGUCUCAGCACGAUAAGGUAUAUUAAAGAUUACACAUCGACUAGAUAUAAAAAUAUUUUAUAAUAUAUAAUAUUUACAAACCUUAACUUUGAACCCGUUUUAUAAGUUUAAAUUACACUUCAAGUUCACUUAAUAAAUAUUUUUAUGAAGUAAAUUAAUGUUAUUUUAUCAACAUAAUCUCCCUUCCUUAAACAUUUAGGUCUUCAUCAUGUCUACUCACAUAAAUAUAAUGAAAUUAUUAAAUAAAGAUGGAUGAAUUAUUCCUUUUGUGAAUAGUCUUUUUGUUGCCUAAAGAAUAUAUGUAUUAAUAAACAUAACACGUAAAGAGUAUUUAACCCUUUUAUACAUGUUUUAUGUAACAUCCCAUAAAAUACAUCUAACUAUUACAAUACAAUUAGUUCUACAGAUUUUUACACAAACUUUUUAAAAAUAUUUCUAUUCUAAGAUGUUUACUUAUAGAAAUACAAAUAUUAACAAUAUAAGAUUUAAAAACUACAUCUUAAAGCCCUCCAGAACCUCCGACACAUAUACGAUCAUCUGCUCAUGUACAUAAUACAGUCAUCGCAGUUCACAACACAUUAAGCUAGUGAAAAUAAAGUUUUAUAAUAUACACGAUUAAAUCAAAAGAGAAAACCAAAUUACAUGGAUCAAUUUAUCAAUUAUUCAAUCUUCUUCAAAUCCCAACAUAAAACAAUCACAUAAAUCUCACAUGGAUCUACACAUCCAUGAUAUUCAACAAACAACGUCUUCCGGAAGAUCCAUAUUAAGUAAGUCCUACCAGAGACUAACACCUGAUCCAAAAAUUACCAAGAAAUCCAAGAGAAAUGAUUAGGGUAAGUUCAAUACAAUCCAAGUCGUGUAUCUCAUAUGUCACGAUGUACAUGAAAUCCUCCAUCAGCUUCUCACCACCCCACCUGAUAUGUCUAUAUGACUUAGAUCAUCAGUGAAGCUCGAAGAUCUCCGAUACCACAUAGACAUCAAUACUUAAUACACAAACAAACAUUAGUCCAUACAUUAUCCCAAAUGUAUGAAUUCAAUUCCAUACCAUUUUCAUCAUACAGUAUCAUUUAAAACACGAUCCAGAACAUUCAAAAGUCUUAUUAACAUAAAAAAACAACACUUAAAUAUUAAACCAUCAAAAUCCAAUAUUUCUACAAGUUUAAAUAAUAUAUAAAUAAAAACACAAUAUAUAAACACGCAACAUCCCUACAAGAGAAAUUAAAUAUAUAGAUUACGUUCCCUUCACAUCCAGAUCUUCUAGCCUAGGUGCUAUUAAAAAUUUAAGUUAGCUUCCCUUACCUGAAAUUUCACUGAUAGAAAUUUCACCUCAAACAGAGGAACCACUCCAAAAUUUAGGAACCUAUAACAAGUUAUCCAAAUAUUACCAAAUUUUAGUUUAUAGUAAAAGAAGUUGAGAGGAACACUUUUCUCACUUGUCCCCAUCGGGAUUGAUGACUAAAUCACAGAGAAAAACCUAGAAUAGAAGAUCUUUAGAAUAAAAAUGAACUCACUUUGUUUGAAAAUCUGAUUGGCUAGAAAUCUAGCCUGACUCUUUAGCUACAGUAUGGCGUGAUCAGAUUUUGGAAUAGAUGAGAUAUGGGAGAGAAAAUGAAGAGAGAAGGGAGAGAUGAGAAGUUGGGAGAACUACAAAAAAAAAUAAGAAUCAUCUAUGAAUUUUUAACCACGAAUAUGAAUCCAUAGGUAAAUUCAGCAUUACCUACAGACAAUAUUAUCUACUAAUAUUACCCACAGAUCUGAAUUCGUAGGUAAAUUUAGCAUUACCUACCAAUUAUUACCCACAAAUCUCUAUUAUCUACCAACUAUAACGAAUCUCUAUUACCUACCAAUUAUUACCCACAGAUCUUUAUUACUAACAACUUUUAUCCAUAGAUUUCUAUUACCUACCAACUAUUACCUACAAAUCUCUAUUACCUACCAAUUAUUAUCAUAAUAAUUAUAUACAUAAUAUUUAAAAUAUUAUUAUAAUAUGAAUAAUUAUAAAAUUAUAACUAAUAUUCAUAAAUAAUAAUAAUCAUAGAUAUACAUAUUAUUAAUAUUAUAAAAUAAAUAAUAUUAAUAUAAUAAUAUAAAUAAUAUUAUUAGUAUUAUAUUAAUAAUAUGAAUAAUAUUAUUAUUAAUAAUAUGAAUAAUAUUAUUAUUAAUAAUAUGAAUAAUAUUAUUAUUAAUAAUAUGAAUAAUAUUAUUAUUAAUAAUAUGAAUAAUAUUAUUAUUAAUAAUAUGAAUAAUAUUAUUAUUAAUAAUAUUAAUAGUAUUAGCAAUAUUAAUAGUAUUAAUGAUAUUAAUAAUAUGAAUAAAAUUAAUCAUAUUAUUAAUAAUAAUAUUAAUAAUAUUUGUUAGUAUUAAUAAUAUUUGAUAGUAUUACUAAUAUUUGAUAGUAUUACUAAUAUUUGAUAGUAUUACUAUUAUUUGAUAAUAUUACUAUUAUUUGAUAAUAUUAGUAAUAUUUAAUAAUAUUAAUAAAUUAAUAAUAUUAGUAAUAUUUAGUAACAUUAAUAAUAUUAAUAACAUUAUUAUAAUAAUUAAUAAUGUUAUUAAUUUGAAUAAUAAUAAUAUUAAUGAAAUUAAUAAUAGAAAUGAUAUUAAAUAUAUGAAAUAUAUUAAUAAUAUUUAUAUUUUUAAUUAUAUUAAUAUUGAUAAUCAUUUUAAUAAGUAUAAUAAUAAUAUCAUGAUAACAAAAUUUGAUUGGUUUAAUGGUUGAAGAUUUUUUGGUCAUUCCUCAAUAAACUUGGUUUCGAGUCCCAAAUUGGGUUCUUUUUAAGAAAUUCAAUGAAAAUGUUUUUUACUUUUUGCUCUUGAAAAAUUGGCAAAUUGAACUUAUAUUUGCUACUAUCAAACAUCAAUAUUUUGUUCUUCCAUUUCAAACAUAGUCAAAUAUCAAUAAUUCAAUUAAAAUAAAAAUCAAAUAUCAAUAUUUUUCUAUUUCAAAAAUAUUAAACAUAAAUACCGCUACAAUAAACAUAGUUGGAGCAUUGAAAUGAAUAAAAAAUAAAAACUGAUUUUUUUUUUAAUCCAACUUGUCUUAUCAUUAUCAAGUCAACAUACAAACUUUUUUUAAAUAAGUCAGCGGACCAGCCAUUCCGCCCAACUGUUUGUACGCACAAACUCAAAUUAUGCAAGACGGAUUAAAGCGGAUCAGCAGAUUGAAAAAUGAAUCCAUCCAGCAUUUUUACUAGCGGGUUAUGAUUGCCCACCCACCCACUUUGCUAUCCCUAAAAAAAUUAUGAAGGAAGGGGUGGCGGCUGCUCUGUUGUGUUUUACGGGAUUUACACUUUAUGAAUCGUUAAACUUGCAUCCUUCCUAGAACUUUCACAUAAUUACUCACUUUAGUUUUUCAAACUUUUCAUGUGUGCCAACUUAACUUUGACCCUUUUUUUUCUAUGGAGGCAAAAGUAAAACUUAAUAAAUAAUGAAUCUAUUUUUUUCCCUUCAUUCUCUUCCAAUGCAAACAAGAAUUAUUGGUUUACAAGUGUGAAAAGAUGCACAAAAAUACUCAAAUUUUAUUUAUUUUACUUUAGACUUAUGUGUUGUCUUAAUUAAGAUAUUCUAGUUGCAUCCUUUUCUCACAAGGAAAUGGCAUGGCGGCAACCUGUUGAAGUGGCCAUAAAUGUUUUGUUUCCACAUAUCAAAUCACGUCUCCUUAUUAUAACGAAUGAUUGAAGGUAGUUGUCCCCACUACGUACUAACGGAUAAGGAAGUAUCUUUUUAGUGUGUACUGUUAAGAUAUCAGCACACUGCUAAUUUAACCCAUGCCUUGUUGCACUAUUAAAAUUUUCUUCUCAUUAUUCUCCCAUUAAUGUGUUUAGAUGAAGAAAAUAGAGCUUGAAUAGGAAUGGAUUGACCUUGAGGACUGAAGUGAAAACUGUUCAAAAAAUAGAAGGUGCUUUUGCAUCUAUUAUCAAAACCCAUCUUUCUUAUUAUUGUAGUCUUUUCCUUUCUUGCACAAUCACUUUCGUUAGUAUCUUCUUCAACCGCCUCAUUAUUGACAUAUAUUAAAGAUCUUUCUUCUCACUUGUGUUCAAAUGUUACAAAGAAAAUCGUAUAUAGUAGCAGAAACUUUACCAGAAUAAUCAACACUUAAGAGCUUAGAUAACAUCCCAAAAUAUUACAAGAAUAAUAAACUUCACAACUACUUAAGAUUGUUUAGCUAUCUUUGGCAGAACGAUCCAAAGUAAGCUCAUUAAUUCAUUACUACAAUAUUGAGAGUAGAUUGCAUUAUUUUCCUUUCAAGUUAUUUUCUAUAUCUUUAACAUUCACUUCUUAUUCAUGAUGGGAUGCAAUUGCCAUGAGAGGGAAUUUUCUGUGACUGCUCAACCCUGUAGUUUCAGUCAUGUCCAGUGUCUUAUCUCCCACUACUCCACUAGGCACUUCCCAAUUAAACUGAUGAACAAGGUUUGCUAGGACCAGCUCAAUCUCAUUCAUGGCAAACAUU
rnacentral:lncRNA from 1 species